rnacentral:lncRNA from 1 species
UCUCAUUGCCCCGGAGCCUGAAAUUCCUAACCAAGUUAGAACACCUUGAAAUAGUGAGGUGCCUUCGAAUCAAUAUGAAAAUGGAACUAGAAGAGGAAGAAGACAAAGACCUUCAGUUGAGCCUUAAAACUUUCUCACUCUUCGGAUUACAUGAAUUAAGAGAUUUGCCACGAUUGCUUCUUCAAGGAUCUUCUUCCACUUUGCAGCAAUUACGAAUUAGGGGGUGUCCAAACUUGUCCUUUCUACCAGCAUGGCUACCGAAUCUCACUUCUCUUCAAAAACUUGAGAUUGCUAAUUGCAUAAAUUUGUCAGCUCUACCGGAGGGAAUAGACCGCCUCACCAACCUUAAGGAAUUGAGAAUUUACGGAUGUCCGGAGUUGAGCAAAAGAUACAGAGAAAAUGGGGGUAAAGAUUGGCACAAAAUUGCUCACAUCCAAAAGGUUGAUAUUUACUAUUGAAGAAUAAGGUAUGUGGUAAAAUUUUAAUUUCUCUAUCAGAUUUGAUUUCAUAUUAUCUCUCCCUUUUAUAUGUUUAAUGUUCGUUAAGUACUCAUUGUGUUUGGAAACAUUGCAUGUGUGAAAUGUGAAGAUGGAGAUGGAUGAAUGAAGCUAAGGGUGAGGCUUUUACUUUAUUUGCAUUCAGAUUUCACAGUUGAGAGUUGUAAUUCUAAUUACUGAGCUUUUUAUUUGGAUAUUUCAAAUGCCUUCAUGCUAUGGAUUGUAAUGUAUAAAAUUUUAUGCAUAUUUAUGUAUUCUCAUGGUUGGUUUGUCUUUAUAAUUUAGUAUAUAGAUAAAUUGGUUAUCCAAUUAUAAAAAAGUUACAAAAUGUAUGAGGUGCUAAAUUGGUACAUUUUGAUUUGGUAAUUAUAACUAUAGCAUUGGUAGGUUUUUGAGCAGGUUUAUAAUCAUCAAAAUGUAUCUUAGCUCACUUCCAAAUCUUGAUUUUGUAAUAAGCAUCAAAAGAUUUAUUUUUGAGCUACACAGUUUAGCACAUAGCUGUUCGUUACACAUGGGUUGAUGAUACGAUCAUGUGAGCUAUAGAAAUUAAGAUUCUUUUGAACCACACAGUUUUCGCUUGUCACACGGGCUAACGGCAUGCCUAUGUAGGUACUGUAGGUUAAGUUAUAUAAUUUGUACACGGUCACAAUUAAUUAUACAGUUUAAUCACACGGUUACAUAGAAUAAUUUAAUUAAAUCAAUAAUUAAUUGAUUAGUUCUAUAAUUUAAUCAAUUCAAGUAUCUGACUCAAUUUGUAAUGAGAGGAAUUUACAAGAUUACAAUCAUCAAUAGAGAAAUAUACAACUGAUAAAUACUCCUAAAAUUACUUAUACACCAUGACAUAUACAUUCAUAUAUCUGAUCGAUUCAAUAAUGGUUUUAUGAUUAAUCAUAUAUUUUUAAAUUACUUGUACAUCACAUUAAUUCUACAUAAAUUACUUGAUUUACAGUUUAUUUUAAUUUAAUAUAAUAUUCUGAAAAGUUUCAAAAAUAAUAAAUGAUAAAUAAUAUUAAACUUGGUAUGAAAAGUGAUAAUACAUCCAAUUUACAUGUUUAUCACGCUUAAUUUUGAUAAAUUCUUGAAUGAGAUGCUACUAAUUUUGGACCUAUUUUGAUUUUUGAUUAGGUGCAAAAGCAAACCCGAAAAGUUAAAAGAGUCAAAAAUGUAAGCGGUUGUAAAAGUUUUGAGCCAAAGAACGAAUUAAUGGAUAAUGAUCUAUUUUAAAAACUUUUAUUUUUGGAUUUAUUUGAAAAAUAAAUACUUUUAAUUUUACUUUAUUUUUAAAUAACUCUUCAAUAUUAGAUUGAUGAGUAUAAGUAGAAUUAGGGUUUUAGGCGAGGUACAAGGAGGGAGAAUGGAAUGGGGAAUUGAACUUCCUUCCCUGUUCUCAAUUCUGUUUUAACUCUUUUCUUUACUUGUGUAUUAUUGCACCAUUUACCUUUUUGUUUUAAACUGAUAAUUAAUAACCCUAUAGAUAGCGGUGAGAUCUGAACCCGCAUUUCAAAACUUUCGUUUCAAUGUUUAUUGUUUUUGCGGUUUAGGAGAUAGACUUCAUAGUCUCACAAAAUUAUAUUGGCAUCAAAUUAAAAAGAGUUUGUUGAUUCAGUAUUGAUAGGCAUACAGUUAGAAAUACUGAGUUGAUCGUUUAUCAUAUUCAAUCUACUGAAGAACACAUUGACAUAUCCAAUUAAGUAGUUAGUUAGAUUCUGUUAGGAGGAAAUAGCAGUCAGUUUUGAAACUGUUGAGGCCAUUGGUUCAAGUUGGGUCAUUCUAGUUCGCAAGGUUAUCAGAGUUAAAUCGUGGAUUCGUGUUUCGUAGUUCUUCAUUCAAUAAAGGUUAGUUGUUAGACGUUCUUGCAAUAAAUUUACACAUACAAAGGUUAAUAGUUCAAGGCAUCCUCGAUUAUUAUAAUUAACUUAUCGAUCAAAGGAGAAGACUUGCUGUUAAAAUAUUUAUCGUAAAUUUAGUCAUAUAUAAACCCUAAAUAAAAUACUUCUUAUACAUAUUAAAGCCAAACCAUUUAUUUAUCCAACUUAUAUUUAUUUUGGUAAAAGAAGACUUAUAUUUAUUUACUUUAUUCCUAAAACUUCAAAGUUUCAAAAAGAGUCUUAAAUUUUAUUUUUCAACCAUUCCCCCAUUUAACCUAAAAAAAUCCUUCUCCAUCCAAAACAAACGCUUAACUAUGCAAAUAUUCAAAUUAUAUUACCAUAUAUAAUUUAUGAAUUUAAUUUAAAUAAUAUUUUUAAUCCACAUAUCGGUAAACUAUUAAAAUAGUUACCUUUUUUUAUUUCAAGUUACAUUUUAGUCACUUACGUUAAUAUUUUUUUACGAAAUCAUCACUCUGCCAUUACAUUUAAAUAAUAUUUUUAAUCCAUAUACCUUUUAAUGGGUAAACUAUCAAAAUAGUUACCUUUUUUUACUUCAAGUUACAUUUUAGUCACUAUUGUUUGAAAUGUUACAUUUUAAUCACUUACGUUAAUAUUUUUUUACAAAAUCAUCACUCUGCCGUUAAUACUCGUUAUUUCCCAAACAGUAGUCCAAUAUGACAGUUAAAAUAAAUUUUAAAUGUCAAAGGUAGAGUGACCAUUUUCUUCAUAAAACGAUAACAAAAGUAACCAAAAAUAACAUUUUAAACAUAAAUAAUUAAAAUAUAACCUAAAUCAAAUAAAAAUGUUUAUUUUUAAUUUAUCAACACAGCGUAGUUAAGUUCCACCCAAGUCAACUAUAAAGCCUAGUCAACAAUCAAAAGCAGAUAUUUGGCUGAACCACAACCACAAAAUUUGGUGCAUUGCUGCUUCGAUAUGAACAGAAAAAAAUAAAAUCAUUAUUGAGUGCCACAAUCAUUAAUUUGCCUUCCUUCCCCUCAAUCAUUCAAGCUUUGCUCUAUAAAUUCAAUUAUGGCGGAGUUUCUGUUCAAUAUUGCAGAAAGGGUUGUCGAGAAAAUUGUCGGUCUCACUGUAGACGAAGUUCGCUUGGCGUUGAAUGUCAAAACCGAUCUGAAAAAGCUGGAGGACACCAUGAUCAGCAUUAAAGCUGUGCUCUUGGAUGCCGAGCGGCAACAGCACCAAAAUGAAAAGCUGCGCCUCUGUAUGCGGAAGCUCAGAGACAUCUUUUACGAUGCUGAGGACGUUAUUGACGAUUUCAAGUGUGAAGCUCUCCGGAAACAGGACGCCAUCAAUCAUCCCGACAUCAACAACUUAAAGGUGCGAGUUUUAGGUUCCUGUUGUUUGUCUCUUUCAUUCUCUUUAAAAAUGAGUCAUAAAAUCAAAGACAUCAAUGGGAGACUAGGCNNNNNNNNNNNNNNNNNNNNNNNNNNNNNNNNNNNNNNNNNNNNNNNNNNNNNNNNNNNNNNNNNNNNNNNNNNNNNNNNNNNNNNNNNNNNNNNNNNNNNNNNNNNNNNNNNNNNNNNNNNNNNNNNNNNNNNNNNNNNNNNNNNNNNNNNNNNNNNNNNNNNNNNNNNNNNNNNNNNNNNNNNNNNNNNNNNNNNNNNNNNNNNNNNNNNNNNNNNNNNNNNNNNNNNNNNNNNNNNNNNNNNNNNNNNNNNNNNNNNNNNNNNNNNNNNNNNNNNNNNNNNNNNNNNNNAAUUUGAUCUUUCUAGAUUGCUUAAGCUGAUUAUUCAUUCUGUAAAUAAAGGAGAAAGAUGCGAUGAUUCAACACUUGACGCCUUGCAAGCUCGUUUGAGAAGCCUUUUGAAUGAUAAGAAGUUCUUGCUCGUCCUGGAUGAUGUGUGGAAUGAAAAUAAAGCAAAAUGGGCUGAGUUAAGAAAUUUGUUGAGAUCGACGGAUGGAUUUUCUCCAAGCAAAAUUAUUGUCACCACUCGGAGUUUGAACGUGGCCUCGAUAAUGAGUUCAAUUCCCCCGUAUAUUUUGAAAGGUCUCCCUCUUGAAGACUGUUUGACCUUAUUUACAAAAUGGGCUUUUGAUGAUGGUGAUGAGAGACAUUAUCCAAAUCUCAUUAGAAUCGGCGAGGAGAUUGUGAAAAAAUGCAAAGGGGUUCCUUUGGCAGUAAGAACAUUGGGAAGCCUACUGUUUCAGAAAACGGAUGAAUCUNNNNNNNNNNNNNNNNNNNNNNNNNNNNNNNNNNNNNNNNNNNNNNNNNNNNNNNNNNNNNNNNNNNNNNNNNNNNNNNNNNNNNNNNNNNNNNNNNNNNAAAUAUGGAGACUUGAACAACAUGAACACGAUAUUUUACCAGUGUUGAAGUUGAGUUACAAUCAUUUGCCAUCUCAUUUGCAACGAUGUCUUGCUUUUUUGUCCUUGUACAAAAAGGAUGAGAUCUAUUAUAGUGAUAGAGUUAUCUGUCUUUGGAUGGCAAAUGGACUCCUUGAGCGUCCAAAGCAAAAUCAAGAGUGGGAGGAUGUUGGCAAACGAUAUUUGAAUGAAUUACUGUCAAGGUGCCUCAUCCAAAUGGAGCAGGAUUUUUGGUUGUAUUUUACAUUCAAAAUGCAUGAUCUGGUACAUGAUCUUGCAUUAGAUGUGUCUCAAAAAGAAUGUAAAACAGUGAAUUCGGAAACAGAAACGGUUGAUGAAAAUGUUCGACAUUUAUUAUUCUGUGAUGAGAAGUUGGUUGGAGUUCCACGUGUUUUGGAGGAAAUGAAAAAUGUUCGAACAGUAAUCAUCCAAGAUGCUUCAAAGGAAUCAAAGACUACUCAUGAAUCACUUAUAAAUCUGUGUCUCUCCAACUUCAAGUAUCUUCGAGCAUUAGAAUUAAGGAAGUCACCAUUGAUGGCUUUACCAAAUUCCAUUGGUACCUUGAAGCACUUACGAGACCUUGACUUGGUCGGAUGUAGGAGUCUACGUGAACUCCCGAGGUCUUUCGAUAAGCUUCGCAGCUUGCAAUCGUUAAAUUUGGGAGAUACUGGUUUGAAGCAGUUGCCUGACAGCGUGCAAAGGUUGAUUGAGCUUAGACAUCUAGAAAUAACCAUUAAAGCUACGCAUUUGAAAGAAAUACGAGCAGGAUGUUGGACUUCUCUUCAAUACUUGGAAUUGAGGUGGUGUAUGGAAUUAGAAUGUUUACCUGAAGGAAUGCAGUAUCUGAAGUCACUUCGGACACUUGUCCUGAAGCACUGUGAUAGUCUUGUCUCAUUGCCACGGAGCCUGAAAUUCCUAACCAAGUUAGAACACCUUUAUAUAAAAUUUUGCAGUAGUAUGAAUUUGAAAAUGGAACCAGAAGAGGAAGAAGACAAAGACCUUCAGUUGAGCCUUAAAACUCUCACACUCUUCGGAUCACAUGCCUUAAGAGAUUUGCCACGAUUGCUUCUUCAAGGAUCUUCUUCCACUUUGCAGCAAUUACGAAUUGCGUUUUGUCCAGACUUGUCCGCUCUACCAGCAUGGCUACUGAAUCUCACUUCUCUUCAAAAACUUGAGAUUAAGGGUUGCUUUAAUUUGUGGGAUCUACCGGAGGGAAUAGACCGCUUCACCAACCUUAGAGAAUUGACAAUUGACGGAUGUCCGGAGUUAUGCAAAAGAUACAGAGAAAAUGGGGGUGAAGAUUGGCACGAAAUUGCUCACAUCCAAAAGGUUGAUAUUUACGAAUGAAGAAUGAGGUAUGUGGUAAAAUUUUAAUUUCUCUAUCAGAUUUGAUUUCAUAGUAUCUUCCCCUUUUAUAUGUUUAAUGUUCGUGAAGUACUCAUUGUGUUUGGAAACAUUGCAUGUAUGAAAUGUGAAGAUGGAGAUGGAUGAAUGAAGCAAAGGGUGAGGCUUUUACUUUAUUUGCAUUCAGAUUUCACAGUUGAGCUUUUUAUUUGGAUAUUUCAAAUGCCUUCAUGCUAUAGAUUGUAAUGUAUAAAAUUUUAUGCAUAUUUAUGUAUUCUCAUGGUUGGUUUGUCUUUAUAAUUUAGUAUAUAAAUAAAUUGGUUAUCCAAUUAUAAAAAAGUUACAAAAUGUAGGAGGUGCUAAAUUGAUUAUCCAAUUAUAAAAAAGUUGUGCUAAAUUAGUACAUUUUGAUUUGGUAAUUAUAACUAUAGCAUUGGUAGGUUUUUGAGCAGGUUUAUAAUCACCAAAAUGUAUCUUAGCUCAUUUCCAAAUCUUGAUUUUGUAAUGACCAUCAAAAGAUUUAUUUUUGAGCUACACAGUUUAGCACAUAGCUGUGUGUUACACAUGGGUUGAUGAUAUGAUCGUGUGACCUAUAGAAAUUAAGAUUCUUUUGAACCACACAGUUUUCGCUUGUUGCACGGGCUGACGACAUGCCCGUUUGGGUACUGUAGGUCAAGUUAUAUAAUUUGUACAUGGUCACAAUUAAUUAUACAAUUUAAUCACACGGCCGUGUGAUUUUUGGAGAAUUCUUAUAUUUAGGUCCACACGGUUACAAUGAGUUCACAUAGUCUAGAUACAUGGUUAUGUGACCCUUGUUUGUUGAAGUUUCAAUACUUUUUGCUAAAUUUUCAAUGAAGUCUUUAGUUGUUCCCUUGUAUAUUCCAAAUAUAUAGUUUUUUUUAGAAUAAUGGAUUAAUGUAAAUUUGACAAACUAAAAAUAAUUUAAAUUAAAUAUUAUUAAAUAAUUUUAUAAAAUUAUUAUAUUAUAUUAAAUAUAAAUAUAAUUAGUAAAUAAUAUAUAAAAACUAGUUUUUUCACCCGUGUGAUUCACAGACUUACGGUAUAAAUUAAUUAUUUUUAAGAGUUAUAAAAUUCUAUAAAAAAUAAAUAUAAUAAAUUAAUUAAUAAGUAAAUUUAAACAAUUUAAAUGUGCAAAUGGUAAUAGUGAUUAUGGUUAUAAAAUAAUCAUUGCACCUUUAAUUAAUAAUAGUGUAAAUUAAUACUUAUAUAUAGACGUAUGAGUUUAUUAUAUUUAAAUUAAAAUAUUUGUAUUUAUAAAAUAUUUACAUAUAUUAUAAAUUAGUACAUAUAUAAAGAUUUAAUUAAUUCAUAUUUUUUAUAUAAAAAUAUUUACGCACUAUAAUUUUAGUGUAUAUGCUAAGAUUUAAUUAAAUUUAAAUUUAAAUUUCUAAUAAAAAUAAAAAUAAAAAUUAUUUUUAAUAAAAAUAGUAAAAAACAUAUUUUUAUUUAUAUGGUAAAAUAGUAAAGAAAUGAACAUUCAUUCAUAAGGUGAAUGUGAGUACGGGAGUAUUCUUUAGCAAAUGUGAGGGUAAGUGUGAGUAUAAGAGAGUUCUCUAGCUAGUGUGAGAAUAAAAAGUGAUAUAUAAAAAUAUAUUUUAAUUAAUACGAUAUUAAAAUUAACUUUUUAAAUAAAAAUAGUACUAAAAUUAACUUUUUUUUAUGAUAAAAGUAAAGAAAUGAGUUAUGAGAAUAUUCUUUAAUUAAUGUGGGUUAAAAUUAAAUUUUAAUGAAAAAGUGAAGAAAUAAACGCUUAUUUAUAGAGUAAGUGUGAGCUUUGAUUUUCAAAAUUGAUGAGGAUUAAAUUGCUAAAUUUUUUUGAGAAUGAUCAAUUUUGUCAAUAUUAGAAUUGAAAAGGAGUGGAGAGAUGUUUUUACCAAUCUACAUAAAAAUUGAAAUUUAUCCUAUUGAGCUAUUAAUGAUAAUAAAAACAAUCAAUUAAACUCUUCCGUUAAUGGAAAUUGUUAGUAGAUCGGUUUGACUAUUAACAGUAAAAAAAAUUAAAACAUCAUUUUAAAAUUGAUAAAAAAUAUAUACAUCUAGAAUGAAUCUGGAUAAUAAUUUGUCCAUAUUCAUUCUAUAUGAGUGUAAAACUAUAAAAAUUUAAAAAUUAUAAAGAUUAUAAAAAAGUUUUAAAUAUGUAAAAGAUUAAAAAAAUAAAAAAUAAAAAUAAUUUAUAAAAAAUUAAUAAAAAUGCACAUUUAGAGUGAACUUUAGCCAUCCUCGAGUAUCUUCUUGUAAUGCCACAUGUUAUGUCGGGUGAGAGUAUAACAACACUAAUUGAUUAAAAUUAUAUAUAAUUGAAAAAAAAUAUUUAUUAUGAUUAAUUACUUUUAUUACUGAUAGAAAUUAAAUUACUCAAAAUUAUUGAGAAGGAGUGGAGAGAUGCUUUUACCAAUAUACAUAAGAAGCCUUUUGAUAUAUUGAGAUUUAAAUUUACUUGUGGGCUGUGCCGACAGGCGUUUGUAGUCCAACGGUUAGGAUACUUUCACACCAGAUAAAUUAUUGUUCAAGUUCAUUUAAAUUUAGAUAAUUAUUUAUCUAAAUUUAUUUUGUAUGAGUGUAAAAUUAUAAAAAAUUUAAAAAUUAUAAAUUUUAUAAAAAGAUUCAAAUAUGUAAAAGAUUCAAAAAAAAUAUUAAUAUUAAUAAUUUAUAAAAAAUUUAAUAAAAAACACAUUUAGAAUGAGCUUGAGCCGUCCUUGGGUGUCUUAUUGUAGUGCCACGUGUUGCGCUGGGUGAGGAUAUAACAACACUAAUCAAUCAAAAUUAUAUAUAAUUGCCAAAAUAAUAUUUAUUGUGAUUAAUUGCUUUUAUUUGUUACUUUUCAAAAUUGAUAGGGAUUAAAUUGCUCAAAUUUUUUAGAAGGACCAAUUUUCUCAAUAUCAAAACUGAGAGGGGGUGAAGAGAUGUUUUUACCAAUAUAUCAUGGGGGACAUAGAGACUAUUAAUAUAUUUAAAUUUUAAGUUUAACUUAUGCAGCAUCAGGGGUUUGUAGUCCAACGGUUAGGAUAAUUGCCUUCCAAGCAAUAGACCUGGGUUUGACUCCCGACAAACGCAGUUGGAUUUUUCAUUUUAAGCAAUUUCCUUUUUUCCUUGUUCUCCGAUGGAAUGAAGGUGGUAACUGGUGAGUGUUCGUUGGAUAACAGUCUGAUAACUAAUAGUUCAUAAAAUACUCCCUUUGAGAACGCAAGAUGCAAAUGUCCAUGAAUAUGCGGUCAAAGCAAAAGUAUAAGUGUUCAUUUUUCUCCAAGAACAUCUAUCCUAUAUCUAAAUAUAGAGCUAUAAUCUUUAUGAAAAUCUAGAAAAAGAAGUUGAUAUAUUUAUUGUACAAGCCCAUUUGCCCGGGCCCAACAAACAAAACAAAAUAGACCUAACUAUCCAAUUACGCCCACCAGCUCAAUAAGCCCAAAAUUUAAAAAGCCCAAUGCCCAUUUUCAGAAAAAAACAAAUCAGCCUAGGGUUUCAGAAACUGAAACCCUAGCCCCUAACUAAGUGGCGCCGCAAGCCUCUUCUGACUCUUAGUCUACUGGCCGCCGCCCUCUGUCGACAUGGCCCACUUGCACCGCCACGGUCACAUCCGUCCUCACCUGCCCUCUGCUACUGCCAGUCUCCUGCAAAUACACAACAAAAAUCAACAACAUAAGGGAAAACAGAGAUUCAUUGUGAUUUUCUUUUCUUUCGGCUAUAAAGCCGAAAUUGUAAAAACAAAGAAAGGGGGGAGGCUUCAUCACUGUAAUCGGGUCUUUUCCUUUUCUUUUGUAACAUUUUCACAACACAAUAGUUAAUGAAAAAAGGCAGAGAAAACAUUUAAAGGUUGAUUCAGACUUUUUAUUCUUUUUUUCUGUUCGUUUUUAUAUUUGUUUGUUUUUUUUAUAUACGAAUUUAUCUCAACAAAAACGAAAUAAAAAAGGAGAAAGAACCUUACCUGAAUCGUCUCGCAAGCGUCGUCGCCGGAGUCCUACUUCGGGUCACCGAAAUUGGGCGGGGAAGGCGGCGAUUUGAUUUUUCUCUCGCGACCCCGAGGCCAUGAAGACUUGGUCUUCAGUUGGUCCUUGAAGCAGGGUUUAAAAACCCGACGUUUGGGCUUCUGACCACCGCUCACGGCGGGGUCGACGGUGGCCCAUUUGGCCGGCGACGGGGGGGAGUUGAAAGAAGAAUGGUUUGUUUCUUUCUUUCUUCUGCAGUUUUUUUUUAAAGAAACCCUAGAAAUGAUUUUUUUUAAAGAAAAUUGGGUUUAAAUACCCUAAACAAAACGGCACCGUUUUAGCCCCUUCGACCCGCGCGGUGACCCGACCCAGAGGAGGAUCCGCGUGUUUUCCUUAAAUGGUAUAAUUGCACGCGCAGUCCCUCAAACUUUACAACGCGUUGCAAUUUGGCCCUUGUUUCGUUGUUUUCUGUUAUUUUAAUUUGGCCACAAAGUUUUAUUGUUGUUUCAAUUUAGUCCAUUGCAGUGCUGCGUUUUGGAUGUCUUGGUUUAUUUACUUUUUUGGUCCCUUUCCUCUCGGCGCACGUUGCAACUUAAUCCUUCUCGUUUUUUUUAAAUUCGCCCAGUAUCUUUAUCUCUAUUUCAAUUUAGUCCCUUUUUUAGUAAUUCUAUUAUUAUUAUUAUUAUUAUUAUUAUUAUUAUUAUUAUUAUUAUUAUUAUUAUUACUUACUUAUUAUUUAGUUUAGUUAUUAUUACUUAUAUUAUUAUUANNNNNNNNNNNNNNNNNNNNNNNNNNNNNNNNNNNNNNNNNNNNNNNNNNNNNNNNNNNNNNNNNNNNNNNNNNNNNNNNNNNNNNNNNNNNNNNNNNNNAAUUUUAGAUAUUAUUAUAUAUUUGCUUAUAUAUGUACAUACGUAUAUGUAUAUGUAUGUUUUCUUUUUGUUUGUUUUUCUUAACCUCUUUAAUAUAUACAUAAAUACUUUUUUUUAUAUGUAUAUCUAUAUAUAUGUAUAUCUCAUCUUCAUAAAUGUAUAUUUAUAUGUAUAUAAAGAUAUAUAUUCUUAUAUAUUCAUCAUAUUUUUAAAAAAUAUAUUGUUUAUAUGCUUUAUACUUUGUGAUUUGUAUAUAUACUUAUACUUACAUGUAUAUAUAUAUAUAUAUUUAUAUUUGAUUAUGGUUAUAUACAUGUAUGCGCAUAUGUGCUUAUGUAUUUUCAUGUAUAAUAGUUUCAAUAUGUGUACAUGCAUAUGCUUUUUUCAUAUUUUCAUAAUUUUAUACAUGUAUACAUGUCUUUUAUUGUUUUUAUAAUUUUGUUAGUCUUGUUCGUUUAUUUAUGUACAUGUUUGUUUUUCUUGCUUUAGUUUUUAUCUGUUUAUCAUUUUGUUCGUUUAUUUAUGUACAUGUUUGUUAUUGUUUUUCUUGCUUUAGUUUUUGCCUGUUUAUCAUCUGUCAUGAUGCCUGCCCGAUUGCUUUUAUAUUAGUCUUAUCACUUAUUUAUAUUUUGUUUUGCAUGAUUAUUUUACUUACAUUAUCAUCAUCAUUUCAUUACACCCAAUUUUUUUAGAUUUCAAGAAAGAAAUUUUAAAAAUAUAAGUAAUAUUCGAUAUUUUAAAUCUUCGAAAGAAUCGAGCCCUAACGUAUUGGGUUUCGAUUUUCUUCGUUGAAUCUAAAUAAUCGAGAUUACUCUUUUAAGAAUAAUAAUAAAAAGCUCAUUAUCGGGAAUUCAAUAUGUUAUGUCCUAACGCAUUGGAUAUGACACGCUGUUUUCCUGAUAUAAGAAUUUUUUCUAAAAAAAAAAUUCAAAAUAAGGCAAUAUUUUGCGUUUAGAAAUUCGAGAAAACAUGUCCUAAGGUGCUGGGUAUCGAUUUUUUUCGUUCAACCAAAUGGCUUAAUAUCUUUUUUAAAAAUUUCAAAAUAUGGCAAUGUUUUGCAUUUGGAAAUUCGAGAAAACAUACCCUAAGGUGCUGGGUAUCGAUUUUUCUCGUUCAACCAAAUGGCUUAAUAUCCUUUUUAAAAUUUUCAAAAUAAGGCAAUGUUUUGCGUUUGGAAAUUCGAGGAACGUACCCUAAGGUGCUGGGUUUCGAUUUCUCGUUUAACCAAGUUGCCAAAUAUCCUCUUGAAUUUUAAUUUAUGCCAUUCGAGUUUUUUUUUUGGAUCGUAUUUUAAAUUUCUUUAAAGUUUUCAGUUUUUUGACACUAAGGCAUUAAUUAAUCAACUAGGUACCAAUUUUGGGCGUAUCGAGGGUGCUAAUCCUUCCUCGUGCGUAACCGACUCCCGAACCCAUUUUUUUGAAUUUCGUGGACCAAAAUCGUUGUUUUAAUAAAAUUAAAUCGUUUAUUAAAAACAACCACUUUUUGAGGUGAUCCGAUCAUACCUCAUCAAAAAGGAUCGGUGGCGACUCUCAUUUUCGUUUUCAUUUUCUAAAAUCCCAGUCGACCCCGUUUUUCAUCCAAAAAAUAGUGUCAACAUUUAUAUUAGACAUAUACCAAAAUUAACUCUUGAGUGAAAAACUACAUUAGUCUUAACUUGAAUAAGAUGUUGAAAUGCACAUCAUUUUUCAGUUAAUGAAAUCAUUAUAUUUUCGACUAAUGUAAUUUCUCGUUAACUUGAAAAAUUACAAUAAUUCAUGCAUUAAAAUUUAUGUAUAAUAUAAAUGAAAUAAAAUAUUUUAUUUUUAUAAAUUUUAUAUUUAAUUAUUCUAAUACUAGAUAUUGAUUAUUUAAGAUAUGUAUUGAUUGUCUAUCAUAUUUGAUCUAUCGAAAAACACAUGGCCAUGUGUAGUUCAGUAGUUGGUUGGAUUCUGUCAAAGGAAAUAGUAAUUAGAUUUGAAGCAGUUGAGGUCGUUAGUUAAAGUUGGACCCUUCUAGCUCGCAAGGCUAAAGAGCUAAAUUGUGGACGUGUUUCAUGAUUGUUCGUUCAGUAAGGAUUGAUUGUUAAAUAUUCUCGCAAUUAAUUUAAAAACAAUUUGAGUUUGAACAUAAUGAAAAAGAUCAAUAGGUUGAAAGUCGAAAAACAAAUUAGACUGCUAUUGUAAAAAAAUAUAAAUACAAUUUCAAUUAAAGUUUAUUAAUAUAAUGACUUGAUUAUAAUAAAAAAUAUUAAAUUUUCAUUGUGACUCAAACCAUUAUUUUUAAUCCGAUAAAGGUAGUGAUAGUUUUGAUGAAAUUAUGACGCGAGGGGGAGUGUUGGGGUUACUCUUUAUUAGACUUUUAACAAAAAGAUGAAAGUUUUGAUACAAGGUACGGAGCCAACAAACUGAAAAUAUGAUUGUUGAAAGAUUCACAUGAAUGCAAGGAUGAAUCUAGCUAAAUUGGGAGGGUUUGGAAAAAAUAUAGGUUCAAAAAAUAAGUUUAGACAAAAAAAUUGUUUAAAAAUUAGGUUGGAUCUCGAGUAAAAUUUUUUUAGCCCAAGCUCGGUUUGAUUUGAAUUAGCAAAAAGACAAAAGAAAUCUACUAUUUUCUUGUUAUCGCAUUGAUUUGUUACCAUUUUUUGGAUAGAAGAAAUCUUGUUUUAUUGCUAAUUUUAUUACUAUUUUAGAGGUAUUUUUUUAUUUAAGUAUAAAUAUUUUUAAUUUAUUUUCCAAUUUUUAGGAAACAUUUAAUUUACUAUUUUUAGUAUCUUUAAUGUAUUAAUUGUUUAGAUUUUUUUAAUAUGAAAAAAUUUUAAUUUUGCCACAUUGGAUUAAGCCUGAAUUUUAACAUUUUUAUUUAAGUCGAAUUUAGAUAAAAUAUUAAAUCUAAUUUUCAAAUCGAGCUUAAAAUUUUGACAAAACUUAACGCAAUAAAUAAAUCCAGCAAAUCACAUCCUAUGAGAGAGAAAUUGUAUUAUAUAGGAUAAAUGGUAAUCUAAGUUAGAGAAGCUUUUUGUGGAAAUUCAUGAAGCCAAUAACAGGGUGAAGUACACAAAGAAUGAAGGUGGUUGGAAAGGAAUCUAACAUCUUAACAAAAAGUUAAUAAAAUACACCAAUGUAAAUGUUAAUUAAUUAAAUACACAUCAACAACAAUUUUUUUAUUCUUCUUCAAAAAUAAAAUAUUAAUACUAGUACUAAAAAUUAAAGUAACAUUUGAUAAUUAUUAGUCUUAAGAUAUUAUUAAGAGUAUUCAAGGAUCUUGAAGCAUUAGUAUUUAUGAACAGUUAAAUAGAUUAAUUUUGUAAAACAAAAUGAAGAGUAUUAAUAAGGCAAAAUCUUAUUUUUCCUAAGAAUUUUAUAACCCAAAUUUGUUUAUUUCUUUAAUAAUUUUACUAUUUAUAUUUCAAAUUCAUGAAUAGUUGAUGUUACAUCUUUACAAAGUUACACUUCCCCCUAUAAAAUAUUCAUAGGUUUGAUAAUUUCUUUCCUACAAGAUUUCAAGGACCCGAACAAUAUGUUAGCGUUAGCAGGUUAAGUCACAGGCACGUCGAACAGGAAGGCUUGUUUUUGUUUUUUUCUUUUUUCGAAUUUCGGGCUACAACAAGAAGUUCUUUGUUUGAUUUCUUACCACAAAAAAAGAAGAAAAAGAGAAAAAAGGAAGGGUCUUUCUUGAAUGCUGUACUGCCUCUCUUCUUUCUUUGCUCUUGAAAUUCAAUUAUGGCGGAAACGUUUCUUUUCGAUAUUGCAGAAAGGGUUCUCGCCAAAAUUGUCCAUCUCUCUGUAGACGAAGUUCGCUUUGAAACAUUGCAUGUAUGAAAUGUGAAGAUGAAGAUGGAAGAAUGAAGGCAAGGUUGAGGCAGGCCACCCAAGACUUUUACUUUAUUUGCAUUUAGAUUUCACAGUUUAGAAUUGUAAUUCUAGUAACUCUAGCUUUUGCUUUGGAGAUUUCAAAUGGCUUAAUUGUAAUGUUUGUUUGACAUCUCAAAUGGCUUCAUGCUAUGCCUUGUAACUCUUAACUUUAUGCAUAUUUAUGUUUUCUCAUCCUUCCUUUCUCUUUAUGAUUACCAAUUUGGCUUAAUGCAUCAUUUAAUCUCUAAAAUAUACUAUUUUUUUUCACUUUGGUCCUUACAACUUUUUCUAGCCCAAAUUAGGGCAUAAUUAGAAACAUGUGUAUACAAAUGAAUGAGAUUACAUUUAUACAUAACCUAUUCAAUUAAAUCAAUUAUUAAUUGAUAAUUAGAUAAUUCAAUCAAUUAUGUUUGUAGUUAGACACAUGUAUAUACAAGUUUAUUUGUCUACAUUUUUACAUAGUAUAAUUUAAUUAAAUCAACAAUUAAUUGAUAAGUUCUAUAAUUUAAUCAAUUCAAGUAUCUGACUUAAUUCAUAAUUAGAGGAAUUUACAAGAUUAUAACCAUCAAUGGAGAAAUAUACAACUGAUAAAUGCUCCUAAAAUUACUUAUACACCAUGACAUAUACAUUCAUAUAUCUGAUUGAUUCAAUAAUGGUUUUACGAUUCAUCAUAUAUUUUUAAAUGACUUGUACAUCAUUAAUUCUACAUAAAUUACUUGAUUUACUAUUUAUUUUAAUUUAAUAUAAUAUUCUGAAAAGUUUAUAAAAUAAUAAAUGAUAAAUAAUAUUAAACUUGAUAUGAAAAGUGAUAAUACAUCCAAUUUACAUGUUUAUCACGCUUAAUUUUGAUAAAUUCUUGAAUGAGAUGCUACUAAUUUUAGACCUAUUAUUUGAUUUUUGAUUAGGUGUAAAAGCAAACUCGAAAAAUUAAAAAAGUCGAAAAUGCAAGCUGUUGUAAAAGUUGUGAGCUUUUAUUUUUGGAUUUAUUUGUAAAAUAAAUACUUUUAAUUUUAUUUUUAAAUAACUCUUCAAUAUUAGAUUGAUGAGUAUAAGUAGAAUUAAGGUUUUAGGCUAGGUACAAGGAAGGGAGAAUGGAAUGGAGAAUUGAACUUACUUCCUUGUUCUCAAUUCUGUUUUAACUCUUUUCUUUACUUGUGUAGUAUUGCACCAUUUACCUUUUUAUUUUAAGCUAAUAAAUAACCCUAUAGAUAGCGGUGAGAUCUAAACUUGCAUUUCAAAACUUUCGUUCCAGUGUUUAUUAUUUUUUCAGUUUAGGAGAUAAACUUCAUUUUCUCACAAAAUUAUAUUGGCAUCAAGUUAAAAAGAGUUUGUUGAUUCAGUAUUGAUAGGCAUACAGUUAGAAAUACUGAGUUGAUCGUUUAUCGUAUUCAAUCUACUGAAGAACACAUUGGCAUGUCUAAUUAAGUAGUUAGUUAGAUUCUGUUAGGAGGAAAUAGCAAUCAGUUUUGAAACGGUUGAGGCCAUUGGUUUAAGUUGAGCCAUUCUAGUUCACAAGGUUAUCAGAGUUAAAUCGUGGACUCGUGUUUCGUAGUUAUUCAUUCAAUAAAGGUUAGUUGUUAGACGUUCUUGCAAUAAAUUUAUACAUAGAAAGGUUAAUAGUCCAAGGCAUCCUCGAUUAUUAUAAUUGACUUAUCGAUCAAAGGAGAAGACUUGCUAUUAAGAUACUUAUCGUAAAUUUAAUCAUUUAUGAACUCUAAAUAAAAUACUUCUUAUACCCAUUAAAGCCAAACCAUGUAUUUAUCUAACUUAUAUUUAUUUUGGUAAAAGGAGACUUAUAUUUAUUUACUUUAUUCCUAAAACUUCAAAGAAGCCCCAUCUUUAUCUUUUAAGUUUCAAAAGGAGGUUUAAAUUUUAUUUUUACUAAAAAAACAUUUUCUCAAUCCAAAACAAAUAUUUAAAUUAUAUUACCAUAUAUAAUUUAUGAAUUUAAUUUAAAUAAUAUUUUUAAUCCAUAUACCUUUUAAUGGAUAAAUUAUCAAAAUUGUUAUUUUUGUUUACCUCAAGUUACAUUUUAGUUAUUAUUGUUUGAAAUGUUACAUUUUAGCCACUUACAUUAAUAUUUUUUUAACGAAAUCAUCACUUUACCGUUAAAAUUUGUUAUUUCUCAAACGAUAGUCCAAUAUAACAGUUAAAAUGAGUUUUAAAUGUUAACAAUAGAGUGACCGUUUUCUUUAUAAAAUGAUAACAAAAGUAACUAAAAAUAAUAUUUUAAACAUAAGUGAUUAAAAUGUAACCUAAAUUAAAUAAAAAUGUUUAUUUUGAUAGAUUACCUCUUUGUUUUUUUAAUUUAUCAACACAGCGUAGUUAAGUUACAGCCAAGUCAACUGUGAAGCCUAGUCAACAAUCAAAAGCAGAUAUUUGGCUGAAAAAAAUAAAAUCAUUAUUGAGUGCCUCAAUCAUUCAUUUGCCUUCCUUCCCCUCAAUCAUUCAAGCUUUGCUCUAGAAAUUCAAUUAUGGCGGAAACGUUUCUGUUCAAUAUUGCAGAAAGGGUUGUCGAGCAAAUUGUCGGUCUCACUGUAGACGAAGUUCGCUUGGCGUUUAAUGUCAAAACCGAUCUGAAAAAGCUGGAGGACACCAUGUUCAGCAUUAAAGCUGUGCUCUUGGAUGCCGAGCGGCAACAGCACCAAAAUGAAAAGCUGCGCCUCUGUAUGUGGAAGCUCAGAAACAUCUUUUACGAUGCUGAGGACGUUAUUGACAAUUUCAAGUGUGAAGCUCUCCGGAAACAGGACGCCAUCAGUCAUCCCGUCAUCAACAACUUAAAGGUGCGAGUUUUAGGUUCCUGUUGUUUGCCUCUUUCAUUCUCUUCAAAAAUGAGUCAUAAAAUCAAAGACAUCAAUCGGAGACUAGGCGAACUGGCCACUGAGUGGAACAGCUUUGCUCUAAGUCAGUGUAACGACAGUAGACAUGUUUUUCGCAGAGAGACCAUCUCUUUUGUGGAUUCUUCUGAUGUUAUUGGUAGAGAUGAGGAUAAAGAGAACAUAAUUAGUAUGUUGAUGAAACCAAGUGAGGAUCAAAAUGUCCCUGUCAUUCCCAUUGUUGGACUUGGGGGUUUAGGAAAAACCACGCUCGAUCAAUUAGCAUUCAAUGAUGAUCGAGUUACUAGCCUUUUUCCUUUGAAGAUAUGGAUCUGUGUUUCUGAGGAAUUUGAUCUUUCUAGAUUGCUCAAGCUGAUUAUUCAGUCUGUAAAUAAAGAAGAAAGAUGUGAUGAUUCAACACUUGACGCCUUGCAAGCUCGUUUGAGAAGCCUUUUGAAUGAUAAGAAGUUCUUGCUCGUCCUGGAUGAUGUGUGGAAUGAAAAUAAAGCAAAAUGGGUUGAGUUAAGAAAUUUGUUGAGAUCAACGGAUGGAUUUUCUCCAAGCAAAAUUAUCGUAACUACUCGGACUUUGAAGGUUGCCUCGAUAAUGAGUUCAAUUCCCCCUUAUGAAUUGAAAGGUCUCCGUCUUGAAGACUGUUUGACCUUAUUUACAAAAUGGGCUUUUAAUGAUGGUGAUGAGAGACAUUAUCCAAAUCUCAUUAGAAUCGGGGAGGAGAUUGUGAAAAAAUGCAAAGGGGUUCCUUUGGCAGUAAGAACAUUGGGAAGCCUACUGUUUCAGAAAACAGAUGAAUCUGAUUGGAUCUAUAUAGGAGAGAGUGAAAUAUGGAGACUUGAGCAACAUGAAAACGAUAUUUUACCAGUGUUGAAGUUGAGUUACAAUCAUUUGCCAUCUCAUUUGCAACGAUGUCUUGCUUUUUUGUCCUUGUACAAAAAGGAUGAGAUCUAUUCUAGUGAUAGAGUUAUCUGUCUUUGGAUGGCGAAUGGACUCCUUGAGCAUCCAAAGCAAAAUCAAGAGUGGGAGGAUGUUGGCAAACGAUAUUUGAAUGAAUUACAGUCAAGGUGCCUCAUCGAAAUGGGGCACGAUUUUGGGUUGGUUUUUACCUUCAAAAUGCAUGAUCUGGUACAUGAUCUUGCAUUAGAUGUGUCUCAAAAAGAAUGUAAAACAGUGAAUUCGGAAACAGAAACGGAUGAUGAAAAUGUUCGACAUUUAUUAUUAUGUGAUGAGAAGUUGGUUGGAGUUCCACGUGUUUUGGAGGAAAUGAAAAAUGUUCGAACAGUAAUCAUCCAAGAUGCUUUAAAGGGAUCAAGGACUACUCAUGAAUCACUUAUAAAUCUGUGUGUCUCCAAUUUCAAGUAUCUACGAGCAUUAGAAAUAAGGCAGUCACUAUUGACGGCUUUACCGAAUUCCAUUGGUACCUUGAAGCACUUACGAGAACUUGACUUGGUCGGAUGUUGGAUUAUAGAUGAACUCCCGAGAUCUUUCGAUAAGCUUCGCAGCUUGCAAUCGUUAAAUUUGGGAGAUACUGGUUUGAAGCAGUUGCCUGACAGCGUGCAAAGGUUGAUUGAGCUUAGACAUCUAGUAAUAACCAUUACAGCUACUCAUUUGAAAGAAAUACGAGCAGGAUGUUGGACUUCUCUUCAAUACUUGGAAUUGAGGUACUGUAUGGAAUUAGAAUGUUUACCUGAAGGAAUGCAGUAUCUGAAGUCACUUCGGACACUUGUCCUGGGUGGUUGUGUUAAACUUGUCUCAUUGCCACGGAGCCUGAAAUUCCUAACCAAGUUAGAACACCUUGAAAUAGUGAUGUGCCAUCGAAUCAAUUUGAAAAUGGAACCCGAAGAGGAAGAAGACAAAGACCUUCAGUUGAGCCUUAAAACUCUCUCACUCAUCGGAUUACUUGCCUUAGGAGAUUUGCCACGAUUGCUUCUUCAAGGAUCUUCCACUUUGCAGUAAUUACGAAUUAUGGAGUGUCGAAAUUUGUCCGUUCUACCAGCAUGGCUACUGAAUCUCACUUCUCUUCAUAAACUUGAGAUUGUGGGUUGCAGAAACUUUUCAGCUCUACCAGAGGGAAUAGACUGCCUCACCAACCUUAGAGAAUUGAGAAUUCACGGAUGUUCGGAGUUGAGCAAAAGAUACAGAGAAAAUGGGGGUGAAGAUUGGCACAAAAUUGCUCACAUCCAAAAGGUUAUUAUUUGUUAAUGAAGAAUGAGGUGUGUGAUAAAAUUUUAAUUUCUCUGUCAGAUUCGAUUCCAUAUUAUCUUUCCGUUUAGAGUAGAGUAGAGACGUGGCUUUUGUCCAGAAUAGUCCGUUCUAACAGCAUGGUUUUGGUUGGAAAUUUUGUAUGUUUAAAGUUUGUUAAGUACUCAUUGUGUUUGGAAACAUUGCAUGAAUGAAAUAUGAAGAUAGAGAUGGAAGAAUGAAGCAGAGGUUGAGGCAGGGCAGGGAAGACAUUUACUUUAUUUGCAUUUGGAUUUCAGUUGUAAUUCUAAGAAGUGAGCUGUUGCUUUGGAUAUGUAUCAACUUUUAGCUUUAUGCAUAUUUAUCUUUUCUCUUUAUGGUUUAGCAUCAACUAAUUGUGUUUGUAUUUUUUAGUUUAAUUUUAUUAAUUGUUUAUUUUGUGAUGGAGAAAUGAUGCGGUUGUUAUAAAAUUAAUAUUAUAACAUAUUUAAUUUUUAAAAAUUACAUACUUUAUUGAUUCGAUCAUGAUUAUAAAAAAAAGUAAUUCUAAAGAAUUAAAAUAUAUUUAUAAAAUUUAAAAAUACAAAUUACAAAAUAAAAAAAUAAAAAAAUGUUAUUCUUACAUAUUAAUAAUUUCUUUUAAAAUUUUAAAACAUAGUUUGUAACUUGAAAUUUUUAACCCCUGAAUAUUGACAUCAACAUUGUUUCUUUUUUUUUUUUUGAAAUUCAAAAAAAAAAACAUUGUUUCUUUUUUUUUUUUUUUACUCAAUGCUUUGCUUGGUAGACCAAAAAAUAAAUAAAAAUUGAAGUGGUAGAAAAAUUGAAAAAUAUAAAUUUUCUGGUAGGAAAGAAAAUUUGAUAGAAAAUGUAAUUAUCUUUCUAACCAUUGCUUAGUAGAGUUGAGAAAUAACAAGAAAGAAAACAAAAUAUUUAAAAAAAUGUAUAAUUUUGAAACUAACAUACACAUAUCUCUCUCAUUUUCUCUCCAUUCAUCAUUCCAAUUUGAAAGAAUUAAUUUUCCAUAAAAAGUACCAAGGAUCUAAGCAUUAUGAAAGUAUCCACAUUCGCAUUGGUUUUUUUGUGAAUAUUAAACACAAUUUAGUUGGUUUAUAUGGAACAAAUUGCCGUUAUUUUUAAGCUUGUCUUAAUCUAUAAUAUAUAUAAAAGUAAGAAUUUAAUUUUUUUUGAAUCGACGAUAAUAUCCUUUAAUGUUCAUUUAAGUACUAAAUAAGCAUUAAAUAAAUAAUUAUUUUUUUAAAAAAUAAUAGAAUUUUUCUUCAUUUGAACUAUAUGGUUAAAAAUAUUAGAUAAAAUCAUAUCAAUAAUUUUUUUAUCAUAGAGUUCUUAUUGGUUUGAGUUACACAGUUGAGUAUAUUAAUUAUUAAUAAUAUAUAUUAUAUUAAAUCAGUUACCAUUUAAUUAGUGUUACAAUUAUAUUAUCAAUUUAACUUAAAUUUAUCAUUAUAAUUAGCAUUCAAGGGAGAAUAUUAAAAUUAGUAAAUUUGAAGUCUCAAAAAUAAUAAAGUUUCUUUUCUCCUUUUUCCAUUAGUUGGUUUGAAGAAUGAUAAUGGCAUUAAACCGAAUAAGUCUCUGAAACUAAUCCGAGAUCGAAUAAUCAAUAGCUAUACCAAUAUAGAAACCAAGAAAAUGCAUAUUCCUCAGUUGUCAAUGAUUGAUAAAUGAUUAGUACACGAAGCAACAAAGAAUGUCAUGAUACUGUCAGUAAUGUUUACCUGGCAUUUUCUUAUCUUGAUUGUCUUCAUGUUCAUCGUUAUCACUCGCAUCACCGGUUUGCUUGGAUGCUGUUGAAUCACGAGGUAGUGGUCCGGUAAUUGACAGCUGAUAAAGAACCCCUACGGACAGCGUAAAGAGGAGGCACGUGUAAUGCCACGUGUUAUGUCGGAUGAGGGUAUAACAACACUAAUUGAAUAAAAUUUAUAUAAUUGACAAAAAAAUAUUUAUUAUAAUUAAUUACUUUUAUUUGCUGAAUUUUAAAACUGAUAGAAGUUAAGUUAGUCAAAAUUAUUGAGAAAGAGUGGAGAGAUGCUUUUAACAAUAUACAUAAGAAGCCUUUCUAUAUAUUGAGAUUUAAAUUUACCUGUGGAUUGUGCCAAUAGGCGUUUGUAGUCCAACGGUUAGGAUACUUUGAUAGUGCGUUUGUAGUCCAACGGUUAGGAUACUUUGAUAGUGGAUAAAUUAUUGUUCAGGUUCAUUUAAAUUUAGAUAAUUAUUUAUUUAAAUUUAUUUUAUAUGAGUGUAAAAUUAUAAAAAAAAUAAAUAUUAAAAAUAUUAAAAAAAGAUUCAAAUAUGUAAAAGAUUCAAAACAAUAAAAAUAAAAUAUUAAUAAUUUAUAAAAAAUUAAUAAAAAAACACAUAUAGAAUGAACUUGAGCCGUCCUCGGGUGUCUUCUUGUAGUGCCACGUGUUGCGCUGGGUGAGGAUAUAACAACACUAAUCAAUCAAAAUUAUAUAUAAUUGCGAAAAGUCUAUUUAUUGUGAUUAAUUGAUUUUAUUUGUUGCUUUUCAAAAUUGAUAGGGAUUAAAUUGCUCAAAAUCUUUUAGAAGGACUAAUUUUCUCAAUAUCAAAAUUGAGAGGGACUGGAGAAAUGUUAUUACCAAUAUAAUUGGGGGACAUAGAAAGCCUAUUAAGAUAUUUAAAACUCAAGUUUACUUGACAGCUGCAGCACCAGGCGUUUGUAGUCCAACGGUUAGGAUAAUUGCCUUCCAAGCAAUAGACCCGGGUUCGACUCCCGGCAAACGCAAUUGGAUUUUUUCAUUUUAAGCAAUUUCCCUUUUUCCUUGUUCUCCGAUGGAAUGAAGGUGGUAACUGGUGAGUGUUCGUUGGAUUAAAAGAUGAGAGAGCCAUUUGCCUACCAACACCAAUCACACACAAAGAAACAUUUGUGAUACUCAAAAGAGUGUGCUAAAAUCCGUGGUAGAACCCCCUACCCCUACAUAUCAAGCCUUUAAACAAUUUAUCCCUUUUUUUUUUUUUAUUCAUCAAAGCUUCACCAUUAAAUUUCUCUAAGGGAAGAUGAAAAAAAAAAUAGGGAAUGUGAAAAAAAGGCUGAAUAAUUUACGUAAUAAUUUUCAAAUUUAAACAUCAAACUAUAGUUGCUCUUACUCUAAAGUUUUCUUUAGGUACUUCAUAUUAGCAUCCGGAUACAUGAUAAGUUUAUAGUAAGUUAUGUAUCAUGUUUUUAGAGAAAAGUCAUGAAUAUUAGAAUUAGUCUUGAGAUAUAAAUGUCCGAAUCACUUUCAACUUAUGAGUUACUUUUUAUGGACAAAAUCGUAAAACCAAAUAGUUUGAAGAAAAAAAAUACAUUUUCCAUCAUGACACUAUAGCAUAAGGUUAUCUUUAGUAUAAUUUUUUUCUUCAUUUCCCAUAACAUUUUUCCAUAAAUUGGUAUUAAAAAUGAAAAUGAUAUUAAAUCAGACAAAUGCCAUAUAUGAAAUGAAACAACAAAGAAUACCACAGAUUUUAUUAAAUAGUGAAAAGGGCUAAUCAUGUUUUUAGAUUAAGGUACUUUCAUAAGUAUGAAGUAUACUAAAGAUUUCGUAAACUCUGAUAUUCUUCUUUAACGUGGCUUAAACAAAAACAUGUUUAUCAAACAUUUUUCUUAUCUUAAUUCUCUUCAUAAUCAUCAUUAUCAUUCAAUUUACCUUGAAUCGCAAGAUAACAGUCCGAUAACUAAUAGUUGAUAAAGUACUCCCUUUGAGAAGGCAAGAUGCAAAUGCCCAUGAAUAUGCGGUCAAAGCAAAAGUAUAAAUGUUCAUUUUUCUUCAAGAACGUCUAUCCUAUACCCAAAUAUAGAACUAUAAUCUUUAAUGACCUUCCAAAUAUAUCAAAAUUUUGAUAAAAGUAAAUGUAACUUAUGAAAAUCUAGAAAAAGAAGUUGACAUAUUGAUUGUAACAGUCCGGUUUUGACCCUAAUCAGUGUUGACACCAUUUUUUUUGUGAAAACGGGGUCGACUUGGAUUUUGAAAACGAAAAUGAAAAUGGGAGUCGCCAUCAAUCUUUUUUUAUGAGGUGUGAUUGGGUCACCUCGAAAAAUAGUUGCUUUUAAUAAACGGUUUAGAUUUAUUAAAACAAUGCUUUUGGUCUGCGAAAUUCAGAAAAAAAAUGGUCGGGAGUCGAUUACGUACGAGGAAGGAUUAACACCCUCGUAACGCCCAAAAAUUGGUACCUAGUUGAUUAAUUGGUGUCUUAGUGUCGAAGAUUUGAAACUUUGAAGAGUUUUAAAAAUACGAUCCUAAAAAAUCUGUAUAAAUCAAAUUACCCGUUAAGGCCCUCUCAUUUCGGAGAGAGAAAAUGUCACACCCAAUGAGUUAGGGCAUUAUGUUUCACCUCCUCAAAAAUGAGCUUGUCCAAAAAAACUCACGCAAUAAAAUUUAAAAGGAUAUUCAAUUGUUUAAGUCAGAUGAAAAAAUCGCAACCCAAUACAUUAGGGCACAAUUUCUCAAAAUUCUAAACAUUGAAUAUUGCUUUUUUUUUUUUUUUAAAUCCUCAUCUCGAAAAAAAAUGUGUCAUAUCCAAUGCGUUAGGACACAACGUAUUGAAUCCCCGACAAUGGGCUUUUUAUGUUAUUAUUAUUAUUAUUAAAGAGCAUUCUCGAUUAUUAGAUUCAACGAAGAAAAUUGGAACCCAAUACGUUAGGGCUCAAUCCUCUCGAAUCUAAACACGAAAUUUUGCUUAUUCAAAAGUUGAAACUUUUGCGUCGAGAUAAAUUAAUCUAAUUUGGAAUAGUGGAAAUGAAACACGAGGUAAAUAUGCGUACAAAGCAAUAUUAAAUGCGAUAGUAAAAAAUAAUACAAGCAACAACAAUAAAAAUGAAUGGAUAAAGAGGACAAAUUAAUAACAUGUAGAAUAACAAACAUAUGAACAAAUUAGAUUGAAAUAUUCUCUUAAAACUAAUAAUGAAAACAUGAAUAAAUAAUUAAAAUGAACAUGAACAAAGUGAUAAAAAUAUUAAAAUAUAAAUAUGUACAUAUAUAUGUAUGUGGAAAUUAUAAAAUAUAAAAACAAGACAACAAGGAUAUACGUAAAAUAUAUAAAUGAUGUAUGUGUAUAUAAAUUAUAAAAUAAAAAAAUAUAUAAAAAGGGCACUUUUCAAAAUAUAAAAAAUAUAUAAAUAGGUAUAUAUAUAUUUAUGAAAAAGAAGAUGUGUAUGUAGGUAUAUAUAGUCGUGUGUAUAAAUUAUAAAACAUAUAAAAAUAUAAAAAUAUGUAUAUAUGCAUGUAUAUAAAUAGGUUAUACAUAUGCAUAUUUUAAAAAUUGUGAAAUAUAACAAAUAUAUAUGUAUAAAUAUAAAUUAUAAUAUAUGUACAUAUGUGUAUUAUAAAAUGUAUAUAAGUAUACGUAUAUUUUAAGAUUAUAAAGUACAUAUAAAAAGAAUAUAUUUAUGUAUAUAUAUUUUAAAGUUAUAGAAUAAAAAACGUAUGUGUCUGUAUAAAUAUAAAAACAUAAAAUAUAUGUGCGUAUAUAUAUAUGUAUGAGUAAUUAUAAUAAUAAUAAUAUAAUAAGACAAAUAUAUUUACAAUUUUCAUAAAUAAGUAUAAAUGGAGAUAUAACAAUAAUAACAAUAAUAUUGAUAAUAAUACUAAUACUAAUACUAAUAAUAAUAAUAAUAAUAAUAAUAAUAAUAAUAAUAAUAAUAAUAAUAUAUUAGUUUUAAUAAAAAUAUAUGAUAAUAAAAAUAAUAGCGCAUAUUAAAAUAACGUAUAUAUAUAAAGAUAAAUGAAAAUAUAAAUAAAACAAAAAUUAAUAGUUAAAAGAAAUAAAAAAUACGAAAGGGAUUAAAUAGAAAUCAGAAAUAAAUUUAAGGGUGAGAAAACGAAACUAAAUAUUGUUUGGGGAUCAAAUCAGGAAACGCACAGAAAAGAAAGGACCAAAACAGUAAAUAUCCCGGUCCAUUCUAUACAUAGCGUUUCAGUAAGGACCGAAUUGAAAAUACAAGGAAAAAACGGGGUGAAAUUGCAAAAGUGAAAGAUAUUCAAUUGAAAACGCAAAGAAAAGCGGAAGGACUAGGGUAGCAAUUAUACCCUAGUCACAAAACACGCGGAUCUUCCUGGUAAACGGGUCAGGUCGAGUCAAAUGGCCUCAAAACGACAUUGUUUUGAGGCCGAAUGAAACAGGCCAAAACAGCGCCGUUUCAGAGUCUUUAAAAACCCUAAAAAAAAACCUAAUUACAUUUUAGCAGCCUCAACAAUAAAAAAAGGACAGAGAGCCUCCACCUCUUUUUGGCCCCCCGAACUCCGGCGCCAACCUCAACGGCGGUCCACCGUGUGGCCACCGUGGCCAAGGGCCGACGCGGCUCGAGAAGGUCCCCUUUUGACCGGGUCCAAAAAUAAACCCGAAGAUUCGGGUUUUCGACCCCCAAAACUAAAAAGGAAGGCCCUUAACCUUCUCCCUUUUUUAUUUUAUUAAUAGUUUUUUUAAAAGAAAAAACUGAUUUAAAAAGAAGAAAAAAAUGAUAAAAUAAAAAAAUCGAAAAACAGUAACCUUUGCUUUUAUUUCUGAUGUUUGUUCUCUUAAUAUUUGAUUCUUGAUGUCCCUCAAUUACAUUCAUUUGUUUGGCUUUUAUAGCCGUAUUACAUUGUUCUUGUGCUACUGCUUUUUCUCUGUUUCUUUCUCUGCUUUUGUCUUUCUCUUUUCUUGCAGGUGGUGGAGUCAAUGACGAUGGAGGGGCAGAUCCCCUUGCUAUUUUGGUGAAACAUCGACAGAGAGGGUCAGGCCUCGGGACGAGACGAGAGCGGAGUGCCCAAUGAGGAGCGGCGCACAUGGGAGCUAGGGUUUCUGAGAAUGAGUUUAGGUUGUCGGCCAACGGGCCGCUUAAGGUUUUGUUAUUUUGGGCUAUUUGGGCCUCUUUUGUAAAUGGACUUUUUUAUUAGUUUUAUUUGGUUUUAUUUUAUUUAGUUUUUGGCCUUACAAUCAGAACAGUAGUUUUGGGACCAUAAAUUCGAGUCAGAAAAAUAUUUAAAUAUUAUUAUUUGUGUUUAUACUAUGUGAAUUUAUAUCCAUGAAAUUUUCAUGUUUUAAUUUUGUCGUUUGAGUGCUGAUUUAAUAAAAAUGUUCAAUUGCGUAAGAUGAAAAAGUUGAUAGUUAAAUAUGUAAGGGCCGAAUUGUUGAUGUCUUUAUAGCAUGAGGUAUUUAUGAUGCAAUUAGACCAUUUAAUUCAUGCAUGGACACUUUUGGACAUGAGUUAGUGGAAAUGGAAUAAAAUUAUAAAGGUUAAAAAUGAAAAUAAAUAAUUAUAUGAUAAUUAAAUAAAACAAAAGCAUAAAAUAAAGCCAUUAUCAUCUUUGUUGGCCGAAUAUAGCAAAGAAAGAAAAUCAUCCAUGGCUUUUUAGGUUUUGGCUACUAUCAAGCUUAAUUCAAGAUUUGUUUUUGCUCGGUUUUUGAUAAUUUUUACGUUUUUGAGAUCGUUGCUAUGAAAUCUGUAAAGCCCAUGUUGUAAUUUUUUAAUUUGAUGAUGAUUUUGUGUUUUUCUAUUGAUGAUAGCUUGUGAUUUUUGUUAUUUGUUGAUAGAAAAUAAAAGAUAUGUGAUAGAUUAUAAUGUUUUGUCUUUGGAUUUUUGAUAAAUUUGAGUAAUUUGGGUUAAAUUGUGAAAAUAAUAUUUUGAGGGAUUAAAAUGUGAAAUAAAUGAAAUGCAUGGACUUUUAUGAGAAUGGUGAAGAUUCGGGCUAAGCAUGAUGUGUGCAAAAUUUGCAUGUUUUGUGUUUUGUGCAAUCUGGACUAAAUUGUAAAAAGUGUUAAAUGUUAGGGGCAAAAUGGUAAUUUGUCCAUUUAUGUGUUUUUGGGUGAAAUUGAGUGGAAUAAUAUUUGAAUGAGUUUAAUUUGAAUAUGUUUAGAUCAAGAACCAAAGAAAUUGGAUUUGGAUCGGGAAAAAACAAAAAUAAUCGAAUAGUCGUUUAUUUCCGUCCGUCGAUAUCCAAGGUAAGUCUAUAGCAUAUAAAUGCUGUUAAUUUUGAAUAUAUGUAAAUUUUAUAUGCUGAAUUGAAUUUUAUGAAUAUAAAUAUGUAUUGGCAGAAAGUGUAUAAGCUUAGGAAAUAUGGUUACGAGAUUGAUUCAAUUGAGUUACACCGUCCGAAAGUCCCAUGCGAACCUUAGGAAUAUUUAGGAUACAUAUGUCAUGAAAUAGAAUUUUGUUAUGUGUUAUCGUGUAAGACCACGUCUGGGACGUUGGCAUCAACUUGUGACUUACGUGUAAGACCUUUUCUGGGAUAGUCGCAUCGAUAUGUGAUUACAUGGAAGACCACGUCUGGGACGAUGGCGUUGUACGAAAUGUUCGAUUAUCCGAGUAUCCUUUUUAAUUUCGAAUGGUUCAACGGGCAAUAGUAAGUUAAGAUCGAGUGUAAAAUCGAGCUAGAAAGGAUCAGGUACGUACUCAUACUAAGUUAUAAAAAAAAUUAAGAUAAGAUGAAUGUUGAAUUGGUGGUAUAAUGUUAUAUGUUAAUGUGAAUUAUGUGAUAGUAUAUGUGAAUAUAUAUAUAUAUAUAUAUAUAUAUAUAUAUAUAUAUAUAUAUUUGGCCUAAUGAUGUAAAUGUAUUAUAAAAAGUAAUGGUUAAGUGUACUAAUAUUUGAAUGAGUAUUUGGCCAAAGGAGAAUUUAUGCAAAUUUUAUAUAUUUUGACUUAGGAAAUUAUAAGUUGGAAAUGUACAUGGAUUAUUAAUAGAUUAUUUCGAUUUGACUAGAUUAAUUUUGUAUAUGAUUAAACGUUUCCAUUGCUUAUGACUUACUAGGCUGUUAAAGCUUACCGUGUCUAUUUGCUCUUUGUUUUUUUUUUUAGAUUUUGAAGGUUGGUUAUGAGCUCGGGGAUCAUCAGAGAAGUCUCUAUCGACUCCUUUCGGUAUAUUAUUAAGUUGAAUUCGAACUUAUGGCAUGGAUAGGCUAGUUAUUAUACUUGAUUUUUGGGUAUGUAAAUAUGAGUCAUGCGAAAAUGGCUUAUUCAUUUUGGUUAAGCUUGGUUUUUAUGCUUUUGGUCUAAUGAAUAUAUAUAUAUAUAUACAUAUAUAUAUAUGAUGCUUAAGCUUAUGCAAAAUUUCGGUUAUGAUAUAUAAGUGUGAUGUGUUUGGCAUAUUUGUUAAUAGUUGUAUAAAUUAGCUAUAUUUGAGCCUAUUUCGAAAGCAAUAUGUGUAUCAUAGUUAUAUGAUGUAUUUAGUAUAUGCAUGAAAAUGUAGUCUCAAAAGUUGAUAUAAUUUUCUAUUAUUUGGUUUUGAUUGAAUAUGAAAUGAAUAGUCUUAUAUUACGGUUAAGUAAUGGGGAAAAUGAUGGAAGUAUUAUUGACUUAUGAUAUGUGUUAGUAAUUUCCUUGGAAUGAAUAUGCUAUGUGUAAUACUCAACUUUGCCCAGGGCCCAAUCUAAAACCCAAAAUAAAUAAACAUCAAAAAAUAAAACAAUAAACAGUCUAUUUUUACAAAUAACCCAAACCCAAAUGACCCAAUACCUAGCCCACUAACCUAAACCCUAGCCCAACUGCAAUGUGGUCCUCAACAAAAACACAACACAGCAGAAACCCUAAGCAGUGGCAACAAACCAGCGCCGCAACUGUCGCCCCUUUGCCUGCCUCCGUCGUAGCACCCACUCCGCGCACGUCGCGCACGUUCUCCUCCAGCACGUACCUGUAACGAACCACGAAUAGCAAAUAAUAACAAAAAAUAUAGCAAGAAUUAAGGGAUUUUUUUAUUUUUUUCUCUAAGAUUCGGCUAUAAAGACCGAAUGAUGAUUUUGUAAAGAGGGAGAGGAGUAGUAUCGAAAAGAGUAUUAAAAAUACAAAAACAGAGAAUCUAAAGAUUUUUGGAGGUGAUUUGUUUUUUAUUUUGCUCUUCGAGUUUUCUUCUUACUACUUAUAUAUACUUUUUGUUUCAUUUUUUAAAGAAAAUAAUAAAGAAAGAAAAUGAACGGCUUACAUGGCUUCGAGCACCGUUUGCGGUGGCUCCACGGUGGGCAUGGCGGCUGCCUGGGCAGGGUAUAAAACCCUAGCAGAGAACCCCAUUUCUCCUCUGCUUUCCUCUUAAAAGAAUGAAUGUUGUGGAGUGAGAUCUGAAAAGAAAGCAAAAGAGAAAUAGGGAGGAAGAAGAAGAAAUUAAGAGAAAUAGAAGAGAGAAGUCAGCAGAAGAAUACUUGCUUUUUCAUUUCAUAACCUCCCAUCGAUACUGUUUUGGUGUAUAUAGAAACCAACUAACAGAAUUCAACAAUAAGGUCUAAACACAUCGUUUUAGAAACAUCAUAAAAGGCACCGUAUAACUAAACUAAAACAAUUAUAAAAUGCAGCGUUUAAGACUCAAACAAUUAAAACAAUUAUAAUGAAAAUGUAGAUAAAAUGACCGUUAGCUGUUGCCAUAACAAUUGCCCCUCCUGCAAAAAUAUCCUUGUCCUCAAGGAUCAAACGUUGGAAAGCGUUGUUGAAGCUCCUGAAGCUUCUCCCAUGAAGCAUCCUCCGGAAAGGUGUCCGCCCAUUCGACCAGGACCUCCACAGCAGCAUGAUUCCCCUGUUUAACUAAAAGCCUAUCCAGAAUUCGCACGGGUGUCUUAAGAAGAGUGCCAUAAAACCCAAUCGGUGGAAAAUUUGAAGCACUCACCGCUGAGCCUAUAUGCUUCUUCAAUUGUGAAACAUGAAAAAUAGGAUGAAUACGAGCCGAUGAUCGUAGCGAGAGUUUGUAAGCAACCUAGCCGACUCGAGCUUCUACCGGAAAAGGUCUAAAAUAUCGAGGUGCUAACUUUUGAUUUUUAAACUUACGCAGGGAAUGUUGACGAUAUGGUUGCAGCUUCAAGUAAACCAAAUCGCUUACCUGGAAUUCACGUUCAGACCUUCGUUUGUCAGCCAUCUGUUUCAUCCGAUCUUGUGCCCGAGUGAGAUGGAACUUCAGAACCUUGCGCAUAGCCUCCCUAUUUUGCAAUGUUCUAUCCACCGUAGCCACCGGAGAAGCCCCCGCCACAUAUGGUAAGUGGAGAGGUGGUACUUGCCCAUAAAUAGCCUCGUACGGAGUAGUGUAGAUAGCCGAAUGAUAGGUAGUAUUGUACCACCAUUCAGCCAAUGGCAACCAAGCUGACCAAGUAGAAGGUUUCUCACCUACCAUACAUCUCAAAUACCCUUCGAGACCUUUGUUAAGAAUUUCAGUUUGGCCAUCCGUUUGAGGGUGGUAUGCCGUAGAUCGUUUCAAUUUGGCGCCCAUUUGUUUGAACAAUUCCUGCCAGAACGAACUUAGGAAAAUUUUGUCCCUAUUAGACACAAUAGACUCAGGAAUUCCAUGCAAUUUAUAAACAUGAGUAAGAUAUGCGUGAGCCACAGUAAGAGCAGUGAAGGGGUGAGCCAAUGCAAUAAAAUGACCAUAUUUGGUCAAACGAUCUACCACGACCAAGAUGGUCGAAUUACCCUGUGAUAGUGGAAGACCCUCAAUAAAGUCCAUACUGACAUCACUCCACGCCCGGUCUGGUAUAGGUAAGGGCUGCAAUAAUCCUGGUGAAGCAGAAUUUUUAGCUUUGCAACGCUGACAAAUAACACACUCACGUACCCAUUAUUUAACGUCCUUCGACAACCCUUUCCAAUACAAAUAUGCUAAAAUUCUAUUACGGGUGGCAUGGACCCCUGAAUGAUCUCCUAAGGCUGUGUCAUGGAAAAGACUAAAAAUAUGUCUUCGAAGUUGAGAAUCAUUACCGACCACGACCUUGCCCAACCGGCGAAGAAAUGUACCAUGCCAUGAAUAUUUUGGGUGCAUUUGAGGCUGAUUUCGAACGUCCUGACACAAUUGAAAAAGCUUCUCAUCUGUUGUGUAUGACUCAAUGAUACGCUCCCAUAUCGUGGACCAAUCCGGCUCAACAUUCCCCACACAUUGCAGCAACUGAGAAUCAGGGUCAAGGGGUUUCCUAGAUAACGCAUCAGCCACUGUAUUUUGAGCCCCCUUGCGGUAAACAAUCGAGUAAUCAUAACCCAACAUCUUAGCGACCCAUUUCUGUUGGAAUGGUGUAAUAGCCUGCUGAUCAAUCAGAAACUUCAAGCUUUGGUGGUCUGUUUUAAUAAAAAAAUGCCUUCCAAUAAGAUAAGAAUGCCAUUUUUUAACAGCUAAAAUUACCGCAAGCAUUUCCUUGUCAUAAAUGGAUAAAGCUUGAUAUUUGACGCCUAAUGCCUUGCUAAAAAAUGCCACCGGUUUACCCUUUUGUUGUAGGACAGCUCCCACCCCAUGACCGCUCGCAUCCGUUUCGACACAAAAGGGUUCUUGAAAAUUCGGUAAAGUUAAAACAGGCGCUUGACACACAGCUACCUUUAGUUGGUCAAAAGCUAUUUGUUCCACCUCUGACCAUUGCCAUGGAACAUUCUUCUUAAGUAAGGUGGUAAGGGAUGUGGCUAGAAGUCCAUACCCUCUGAUGAACCUUCUAUAGUAUCCCGACAACCCUAAAAAACCCCGCAACUCUUUAACUGAUUUCAGAAUAGGCCAAUCCAACACACCAUUUACCUUAGUUCGGUCCAUACUAACUGUACCUUUCGAUAUUACAUGCCCUAAAUAUUCCACCUGUACAACUCCAAAAAUACAUUUCGAUUGCUUAGCAUAAAGUUGAUGGGUCCUCAAUACCUGUAAUACCUCCUGUAAAUGAGUCAAAUGGUCUUUCCAUCCCCGAGAAUACACAAGUAUAUCAUCGAAAAAGACCAGUACUGAUUUUCUCAAAAAGGGUCGAAAAAUUGAAUUCAUAAGUGACUGAAAACUUGAUGGAGCGUUGGUCAAGCCAAACGACAUUACCAAAAAUUCGUAAUGGCCGGUAUGAGUUUUGAAAGUUGUUUUAUGCACAUCCUGCUCACACAUUCAAAUUUGAUGGUAACCCGAACGUAAAUCUAACUUGGAAAAGAAGUGAGCCUCCCCCAACUCAUCCAACAGUUCCUCGAUGAUCAGAAUAGGAAAUCUGUCUUUAACCGUCAAUUGGUUAAGCUGCCGAUAGUCUACACACAGCCUCCAACUACCGUCUUUCUUUUUAACCAUCACCACCGGAGACGCAAACGGACUAUUACUGUCUCGGAUAAUUCCAGCUUGCAACAUCUCCUGUAUGAGCUUCUCAAUGUCAGUUUUUUGAAUUACAGGAUAUCUGUAAGGUCGUACCUUAACCACCUUGGAUUCAUCCAUCAAAGGAUUUUUGUGAUCGUGUAACCGUGGAGGUGGUAAACUGGUAGGAGUUUGGAAAACGUCUUCAAAUUCAAUAAGCAGGCUACUUAGAUCGGAAGACAACUGCGUUGGACGCAUGGUCAAAGUGGUCUGCUCGCAAAAAGCUAAAAGCAUUGGGCAAGGGUCGUUACCCACUAAGCUCAGGCAUUUAGAUAGUUUUCGACUAGGAACAAUGUGCAUAGAACCCGGUACAGUACCACGCAAAGUACAGCUCUGUGCCAAAUGAGUAAACUGCAUAGUCAAGUUAGAAAAAUUCCACGCAAUUGAACCUAAAGAUAAUACCCACUGAAUACCAAGUACCAAAUCAAAACCCUUCACAGAUAGAACUAAGAAAUCCGUUGUGAACUUAUGUCCUUGUGCUUCCCAACCAACAGCCCUGCAUAGCCCUUGAGUACAUAGUCGGACUCCGUUUGCCACCAUAACUCUCUUAUUAGGACCCGAUUCUAAUGGUAACUCCAACCGUUUCGCCACCUUGAAGUCUAUAAAAUUGUGGGUACUACCCAAAUCCACCAAGACGAUCACUUCCAUAUGAUUAAUAACAGCAGGAAAUUUCAUAGUGCUAUGCCCUUGCAGCCCCUACAGCGCAUGUAACGACAGUACAUGAGUAGGACUCUCUAGAGCCUAGUCCACUGAAUCUAACUGCUACGGACAGUCUUGGAAGUCUUCAAGAGAAGGGCUCUUCGAAUCAACAUUAUAAUCCCCUAACAGCUCCACUACAAGUUGGUACACCUGAGAUUUUGAACACUUGUGGCCAGGUGAAUACUUCAAUCCACACCAAAAACACAAACCCUUUUUCCUCCUAUCUUCUAACUCCGCCUGGGAUAGGGAUUUUGAAGGAAUUCGUUGCCCCGGUUUACUAUUGUUCACAGGUUCCCCUGCUGCAACCACGUUUCCACCAUUACGCUGCAAUUUGGGUGUAGGGAAAAAAGACCUUGCUGUAUGAACUCCGCUACUAACAGGAGGCUCUUUUUUCAAAGACCCUAACACAAUGUUCUCCACUUGUCUUGCUAAGUUAUAAGCCUCCACCAAUGUUUGAGGUUUAAACAAACGGAGAUAUUGGCCAAUUUCAGUUUUGAGAUUACUAAUAAAUAUGCUUAACGCAUAAGGUUCUGGUAGAUUCAACUAAUUUAGCAGACUCAAGAAUCCAUCAUGAAACUGAUCCACUGAUCCAUGCUGUUUGAAAGUUACUAGUUCAGCCAUAGGAUCUAAAAAAGUCUCAGAUCUAAAUCGUUCUCUAAGUCCCCUUGCAUACACCUCCCAAGUCAACAAUGGUAACCCUCCAUGCCUACGUACAAAGAAAUGAUGCCAAUCUAGUGCUCUCCCUUCAAGAUGCAGCAUAACCACCCUAAUUUUUCCGUGGUCACCCACACCCUCAGCCUCAAAAUAUUGUUCCAAUUUUGACCACCAUCCCCUAAAAUUAUCUCCAUCAAAAUGAGGACAAUCAACCCGAAAAGAAGAAUGCUCAACCUCAGCUACACCCCCCCGAGAAGACAGGCUCGAAUGACCAAAAUCAUGCAUAGGAGACACUACUAAGGGUUCCUUUGCUGGAAACCCAGGAGGAGAACCUAAAACUCCUUUUCCCUUCCCGAUCACUGAACCCGAGACAGCCCCUGGUAGAUGCUGACCAAAGUAUUGUUCAAAUAAAGACUGGAUCUCCGAACGAAGCUCCGAUCGUACUUCAGAACGUACCUCUGUUUUAAUUCCUUCCUGAAAUUCUUUUAAUCGCGCAUCAAUUUGAGCAUCCAACUGAGUGAGCUCUAUUUGCAUUUGCGAAAACUCCCCUUGCAAUGUGCCUAAUUCCCGCUGCAUUCUGGUGGUUACUCCAUCCCCGGCCAUGAGAAUCGACGGCUCUGAUACCUUUGUUGUGGAGUGAGAUCUGAAAAGAAAGCAAAAGAGAAAUAGGGAGGAAGAAGAAGAAAUUGAGAGAAAUAGAAGAGAGAAGUCAGCAGAAGAAUACUUGCUUUUUUAUUUCAUAACCUCCAAUCGAUACUGUUUUGGUGUAUAUAGAAACCAACUAACAGAAUUCAACAAUAAGGUCUAAACACAUCGUUUUAGAAACAUUAUAAAAUGCACCGUAUAACUAAACUAAAACAAUUAUAAAACGCAGCGUUUAAGACUCAAACAAUUAAAACAAUUAUAAUGAAAAUGUAGAUAAAAUGACCGUUAGCUGCUGCCAUAACAAUGAAAUAGAAAUGGUUUUUCAAGAAAAAUUUUGAUUUAAGUAUUAAAGGAGAACGGCACCGUUUUGAGGUAAAGCCAUCAGUGCCAAAACGAUGUCGUGUAAGGCUACCCGCGUGAGACCCGACUCGUUUUCUCAGGAUCCCGUGUUUUUACUUUUAAUGGUCCAUUUUCGCAAUUGGUCCUUCGAUUUUUAGAAGCGUGUUUAAAUCAAUUUUUUUGUUUCUUUUAAAUUUGGCCGCAUGCUUUAUUUUUGUUUCAUUUCGAUCCUUAUUAAAACGCAGUAUUUUGGGGAAAAGGGUAAUUUCCCUUUUGAUCCCCCUCUGUUAUGUGCGUGUUCAAUGGGGUUCGCAUAUUUGUGUUUAUUUCGAAUUUGCUCUUAAAUUUUUGCCUGAAUUUCAAAUUAGUCAUUCUUUUUAUUUUUGUAUUAUUAUUAUUAUUAUUAUUAUUAUUAUUAUUAUUAUUAUUGUUAUUGUUAUUAUUAUCAUCAUCAUCAUCAUCAUCAUCAUCGUCGUCGUCGUCAUCGUCAUCAUCAUCAUCAUCAUCAUCAUCAUCAUCAUCAUCAUCAUCAUCAUCAUCAUCAUCAUCAUCAUCAUCAUCAUCAUCGUCAUCAUGUAUAUCUUUAAUGCCAAAUUUUAUUAUAUAUACAUGCAUACAUUUUUGUAAUAUUUAUGUACAUAUUUUUUAUAAUUUAUAUAUAUACGUACACUUUUUUAAAAUUAUUAUAAAUACAUUUUUUUGCAUAUUUCAUGUUUUUAUAGACAUAUAAAUACUUAUAUACAUGCGUAUUUUGAUACAUAUAUAUACAUAUUUUCAUAAUUUCCUUACAUGUUAUACUUAUACAUUUUUUAUUUUUGUAAAUACAUAUACAUAUAUUUUAAUAUACACAUGUGUAUGUACAUUUCAUGUUUUUUCAUAUCUAUAUGUUUUUUUUACAUAUUUCAUAACUUCAAAAUAUACAUGCAUACACAUACUCUAUAUUUUUAUAUAUAUAUAUAUAUAUUUCAACUCAUACACAUACUUAUGUGCACAUAUGUAUGUACUUAUAUUUAUAUAUAUUUCCUAAUUUUAAAACAUAUAUACAUAUAUAUUCUUCUUGUUUUUAUAAUUUUACGUAUAUACAUAUAUAUAUAUAUUUUAUUUCUUUCACGAUUUCGUUGUUUCGCACGGUUUACUUCUUUGUCUUUAUGUCCAUUUUAUUCAAAUAGCUUGUCUACUUAUUGAGUUGUUUUUAUUUUUCAUUGGUUGUUGCUCGUGCUACUCUCAUUUGCAUCACUGUAUUUAUCAUUGCUUGUCUUGCACGUCAACGAUACAAUUUAUUUUCGCAUUUUUAUGACUUCGUGUUUUAUUUUACUCGUUACAUCAAAAUUUGUUUCGAAUAAAUAACAUUUCGUGUUUUGAGAUUCGGGAAAGUUGUACCCUAACUUAGGGGGUUUCGAUUUCCUCAAUAAAUCCAAAUACACGAAUUUUCUCAAACAUUUUUUGAUAAUCUCGGGAACUAAUAAAAGAUUGUGUUCUAACUUACGGAAUAUGGUCUCUUCUAAAACUCGAGAUAAUUAAAUUUUUUUCAAAUAAAUAUUUCGGCAUUCAUUCUCGUAUCGGGAAUUUUAAACAUUGCGUCCUAACUUACGGGACAUAACUUUCUUUCUCGCUUAACGUGAAAAUAAGUCUGUGUCUCAAAAAUCCACAAUAUUUAUCUCAAGUUACAUGUUAGUCAUUAUUGUUUGAAAUGUUACAUUUUAGUCACUUACAUUAACAUUUUUUUACGAAAUUAUCGCUCUGCCGUUAAAAUUUGUUAUUUCUCAAACGAUAGGCCAAUAUGACAGUUAAAAUGAGUUUUAAAUAUUAACGAUAGAGUGACCAUUUUCUUUAUAAAACGAUAACAAAAGUAAUUAAAAAUAACAUUUUAAAUGGAAGUAAUUAAAAUGUAGCCUAAAUCAAAUAAAAAUGUUUAUUUGGAUAGUUUACCUUAUUUCUUUUUUUUAAUUUAUCAACACACCGUAGUUAAGUUCCAGCCAAGUCAACUAUGAAGCCUAGUCAACAAUCAAAAGCAGAUAUUUGGCUGAAAAUAAUAAAAUCAUUAUUGAGUGCCUCAAUCAUUCAUUUGCCUUCCUUCCCCUCAACCAUUCAAGCUUUGCUCUAGAAAUUCAAUUAUGGCGGAAACGUUUCUGUUCAAUAUUGCAGAAAGGGUUCUCGCCAAAAUUGGCAAUCUCUCUGUAGACGAAGUUCGCUUGGCGUUUAAUGUCAAAACCGAUCUGAAAAAGCUGGAGGACACCAUGAUCAGCAUUAAAGCUGUGCUCUUGGAUGCCGAGCGGCAACAGCACCAAAAUGAAAAGCUGUGCCUCUGUAUGUGGAAGCUCGGAGACAUCUUUUACGAUGCUGAGGACGUUAUUGACGAUUUCAAGUGUGAAGCUCUCUGGAAACAGGACGCCAUCAAUCAUCCCGACAUCAACAACUUAAAGGUGCGACUUUUAGGUUCCUGUUGUUUGCCUCUUUCAUUCUAUUUAAAAAUGAGUCAUAAAAUCAAAGACAUCAAUGGGAGACUAGGCGAACUUGCCACUGAGUGGAAAAGCUUUGAUCUAAGACAGUGUAGCGACAACCGACAUGUUUUUCGCAGAGAGACCAUCUCUUUUGUGGAUUCUUCUGAUGUUAUUGGUAGAGAUGAGGAUAAAAAGAACAUUAUUAGUAUGUUGAUGAAACCAAGUGAGGCUCGAAAUGUCCCUGUCAUUCCCAUUGUUGGAAUUGGGGGUUUAGGAAAAACCACGCUCGCUCAAUUAGUUUACAAUGAUGAUCGAGUUACUAGCCUUUUUCCUUUGAAGAUAUGGAUCUGUGUUUCUGAGGAAUUUGAUCUUUCUAGAUUGCUCAGGCUGAUUAUUCAGUCUGUAAAUACAGGAGAAAGAUGUGAUGAUUCAACCCUUGACGCCUUGCAAGCUCGUUUGAGAAGCCUUUUGACUGAUAAGAAGUUCUUGCUCGUCCUGGAUGAUGUGUGGAAUGAAAAUAAAGCAAAAUGGGUUGAGUUAAGAAAUUUGUUGAGAUCAAUAGAUGGCUUGCCUCAAAGCAAAAUAAUCGUGACUACUCGGAGUUUGAAGGUUUCCUCGAUAAUGAGUUCAAUUUGCCCUUAUGAAUUGAAAGGUCUUUCUUUUGAAGACUGUUUGACGUUGUUUACAAAAUGGGCUUUUAAUGAUGGUGAUGAGAGACAUUAUCCAAAUCUCAUUAGAAUCGGGGAGGAGAUUGUGAAAAAAUGCAAAGGGGUUCCUUUGGCAGUAAGAACAUUGGGAAGCCUACUGUUUCAGAAAACGGAUGAAUCUGAUUGGAUCUAUAUAAGAGAGAGUGAAAUAUGGAGAGUUGAGCAACAUGAAAACGAUAUUUUACCAGUGUUGAAGUUGAGUUACAAUCAUUUGCCAUCUCAUUUGCAACGAUGUCUUGCUUUUUUGUCCUUGUACAAAAAGGAUGAGAUCUAUUUUAGUUAUAGAGUUAUCAAUCUUUGGAUGGCAAAUGGACUCCUUGAGCAUCCAAAGCAAAACCAAGAGUGGGAGGAUGUUGGCAAACGGUAUUUGAAUGAAUUACUGUCAAGGUGCCUCAUCCAAAUGGAUCAGGAUUAUGGGUUGAUUUUUACCUUCAAAAUGCAUGAUCUGGUACAUGAUCUUGCAUUAGAUGUGUCUCAAAAAGAAUGUAAAACAGUGAAUUCGGAAACAGAAACGGUUGAUGAAAAUGUUCGCCAUUUAUUAUUAUGUGAUGAGAAGUUGGUUGGAGUUCCACGUGUUUUGGAGGAAAUGAAAAAUGUUCGAACAGUAAUCAUCCAAGAUGCUUCGAAGGAAUCAAAGACUACUCAUGAAUCACUUAUAAAUCUAUGUCUCUCCAAUUUCAAGUAUCUACGAGCAUUAGAAUUAAGGAAGUCACCAUUGAUGGCUUUACCAAAUUCCAUUGGUACCUUGAAGCACUUACGAGACCUUGACUUGGUCGGAUGUAGUAGUAUACGUGAACUCCCGAGGUCUUUCGAUAAGCUUCGCAGCUUGCAAUCGUUAAAUUUGGGAGGUACUAGUUUGAAGCAGUUGCCUGACAGCGUGCAAAGGUUGAUUGAGCUUAGACAUCUAGUAAUAACCAUUAAAGCUACGCAUUUGAAAGAAAUACGAGCAGGAUGUUGGACUUCUCUUCAAUACUUGGAAUUGAGGAGCUGUAUGGAAUUAAAAUGUUUACCUGAAGGAAUGCAGUAUCUGAAGUCACUUCGGACACUUGUCCUGGGUGGUUGUGAUAAACUUGUCUCAUUGCCACGGAGCCUGAAACUCCUAACCAAGUUGGAACACCUUUAUAUAAAUUUUUGCGCGAGCAUGAAUUUGAAAAUGGAACCAGAAGAGGAAGAAGACAAAGACCUUCAGUUGAUCCUUAAAACUCUCUCGCUCUUCGGAUUAGAUGCCUUAAGAGAUUUGCCACGAUUGCUUCUUCAAGGAUCUUCUUGCACUUUGCAGCAAUUACGAAUUAGGGGGUGUCCAAACUUGUCCGUUCUACCAGCAUGGCUACCGAAUCUCACUUCUCUUCAAGAACUUGAGAUUGUUAAUUGCAUAAAAUUGUCAGCUCAACCAGAGGGAAUAGACCGCCUCAGCAACCUUAGAGAAUUGACAAUUCACUUAUGUCCGGAGUUGAGCAAAAGAUACAGAGAAAAUGGGGGUGAAGAUUGGCACAAAAUUGCUCACAUCCAAAAGGUUGUUAUUACGGAUGAAGAAUGAGGUAUGUGGUAAAAUUUUAAUUUCUCUAUCAGAUUCGAUUCCAGAUUAUCUUUCCCUUUAGAGUAGAGUAGAGACGUGCCUUUUGUCCAGAAUAGUCCGUUCUACCAGCAUGGUUUUGGUUAGAAAUUUGGUAUGUUUAAAGUUAAUUAAGUACUCAUUGUGUUUGGAAACAUUGCAUGUACGAAAUGGGAAGAUGGAGAUGGAAGAAUGAAGCAGAGGUUGAGGCAGGGCAGGGAAGACUUUUACUUUAUUUGCAUUUGGAUUUCAGUUGUAAUUCUAAUAAGUGAGCUUUUGCUUUGGAUAUUUCAGACUCUUGCUUAAUGCCUUCAUGCCAUGGAUUGUAAUGUUUGUUUGAUAUGUAUCAACUUUUAGUUUUAUGCAUAUUUAUGUUUUCUCAUGCUUUAUUUGUGUUUAUGAUUUCCUAUACUUUCUUCUUCUUUUUUGUUCAUUAGUAUCAAUCGAGGGGCAAUUUAAAACAUUCUUAAAUUUGAUAUUUAAAUUCGAGUUCAAAUAAUAUUAAAAAAAUUACAUUUCUUUUAACUUGUAUAAGAUAUUCAAUUGCAAAGUCAUAUGUAAGUAGAGAAAAAUUGUCUCUGAACAUAUAAUUUAAUACCCAAUGCACACUCAAUUAAAUUUGAAAUUUUUAGUCCUGCAAGAUUUCGAGGUUUUUUUUUUUCCUUUUUGGUGAAUUGCAUGUUGGAGUUAGCAAGUUGCAAGACAUGUUAGUAAUUUUGUAUCGUUAAUAAUCAAGAUAGUAAAAUAUAAACAAAUAUUAAUUCAUUAAUAAUUUAAUAUUUUAAUUAAUAUUAAAUUAUAUUAUGUGGUCGGAUCAUAAUAUGAGAAAGACAAUUUUUAUCAAUAGAUAAUCUAAAUAGUCCGCGUUCUAAUCAAAAUUGAUGCGGAUAACUCCCUGAAGAUAUAGACAUAGAUGUCAUUGUCUGAAUUGACAAUAGUCGGACAUGAUCCAAGUUGAAUUUAUCAUAAAUCUUUUUAUGUAUUUAUUCAUUUGUGAUAUUCAUAGUGUGUUAUACCUUAAUCCUGAGUGGAUGAUAGAUUAUAUAUGCGUGACUUGUAUGCUUUAAUAUAAAUGAAAGCCCGAGUUUAAAUUGAUAAAAAAACCGAAAGGUAGUAUGUCAGAUAUACUACUUCUACAUGAUAUAGCACCAUUCCACAAUAAUGGAAUUCAUAGCCCUCUAAAGACAAACGAUAUUCUCUCAUUAACAUUACAUUGUUGAUAAAAAAAAACGUGACUACGGGUCAUUUGUCAUAAGACAAAUGAUUUAAUUAUUAUAUGUUAAUAAUUACUUUUUUUAUAUCAAAAGAUGUAAUGGAAAGUAUGAGAUAAGAUAGAAUCAUACAAGAAGAACAUAUUUUAUCUCAAAAAGAUUAAAGAUAUCCUAUAAGGGUAAUACACUUAUGACAAGGUUAUUAGACGGGCACUAAAUAAAGUAGUUUUGUAAUGAUAUACAAUAAGAUAGAGUUCAGUCAUUAUACUAUAGUGGAAUGACCCAUGAUUAAAUAAGUUGUAAUUAAUAGGUGAAGAGCUAAAACUUAAUUACAAAUUAUUUGAGCUCUAAUUACAUAUGUCUAAUAAGUCUCUUCUCUAGCUCGAGAUAACCCGAAACGAAUUACAUAUAGAAUUGAUAUAUUGUAGAAUGAACUAAAAUGAUAAGUAAAGAAAUAGAUCGUAUAUAUCACUAUCCGUAGUAAAUGUCUUUUCUCCCACUAAAUACAAAAGAUAACUUAGAAAUUAUUUUUUUUUAAAUUAUUUUUUAAUUAAUUGUAAUUAAAUAAUUAAAGUUCAAAGAAGGAAUUAAAUUACUUGGUUUGAAUAAGACAAUUAAAUUAAUUUUCUUAUAAAUUCUAAGACAGUAAAAUUGUCAUGACUUUAAUGAAAUUAGAGUUGAAUUAAGAAAAUAAUUAAUUGAAAAUUUAUUUUAGUUAAGUUAAUUAAUUAAAUUAAAUUAAUAAUAUUUUAGAUGAUAGAAAAUAGUUAUUUGAUUGGAUAAAUUAUAAAUGUUGGAUAAAAGUUCGAUAACACAUAUAAUUAUAUCCAAUAUACAAAAAGCUCAAAUAGACCUAAAUAAUACAAAGGGGUGGUAAACCCUAGUGUAUGCUAGGGCAUGUUGCCACCCCCUAGUUCUACUUCAUGUAGAACUCGUAUUUUUAUUAAAAUAUUAUUAUUUAAUUAGACAUUGUUCAAACAAAACUCUUGUAUCAUUUUUCUAUAAAUAAGAACUACGAGUAAACCUAUGAACAUACUUUGCAUACACUUUUGAGCAUCAAUAUUCUAUCUAAAAAUAGUGAUAAUUUUUUAAGAAUAAAUUCUAUUUUUCAUAAGAGUACUCAUAGUUUUUAAUUUAUAGAAAGAAUUAACUUUCCAACUGAAAGUUAAAUGAAAAUUUCAUUUUGUGCACUAAUUUGAUUUGUUUGUGCUUCCUUUUAAAAAGUGAGUUGUGCCUCGGGUAAGACUUUUUUAGCUUAGACCCGACCCAAAUUAGCAAAAAGACAAAAAAAUCUACUAUUUUCUUAUUUUUUUCCUAUUAUUUUCUCAUUAUUUUGUUACAAUUUCACUAUUAUGUUACUAUUUUUGUUGUUAUUGUUUGGAUAUAUUGUAUAACUCUUUGUUUAUUGUUAAUUAUGUUACUACUUUUGAGGCAUUUGCUUGAUAAGUUACACCUAUCUUAGUGUUAUUUAAGUAUAUAUUUUUUAAUUUGUUAAGAAAUAUUUAUUUUAAUGUUUUUAGUAUUUUUUAUAUACUAUAUUUUUUAUUUUUUAUAUACAAAAUAAUAUAAAAAAUUAAUUCAGCAGAACCGAGCAUGAGCUUUAGUACUUUUAUCCUGUUCGAACUUAGGCAAAAAUUUAAACCCAUUUUUCGGAUCGAAUUGAACUUGGAUCUAGUAAAUAAGUCUAAAAUUUGGAUAAGACAAGACCUAGCCCAUAUAUUGGUCUGUAACAGAAAAUGUUUAGUGGUCACUGUUUUGUUAUUUUUUAAAAGUUGAUUGACUAAGUUGAAACCUGAAUGAUUGUUUUGUCAAUUACUCUAAAAUUGAGUGAUGAUCGGUGUAAUUUACCGUAUUUAUUUCUUUCAUGUAAGAAGGAUUUUUCCGUUUUUCGAAUUAUAUGCGCCCCAGCUCAGUCAAGUAAAGUCAAUCAAAAUGACAGAUAUUUGGCAGAAACUUCGAUUUUGCUCAAAAAAUUAUUUUCACCUGAACAAGAAGGUUUGUUUUAUUUUUUUUUUCCGAUUUUGGGCUAUAACAUGAAAUUCUUUGUUUGAUUUUCUACCACAAAGAUAUUCUUUGUUUGCUUAGAAUGUGUUACACACUAAGCUCAUUAGCUUAUCUUUUGUUUGUUCCUCUCAAGUAAUCAGCAAACUUAGGAAGAGUUGGGUAGCAGGAGCUCGGAUUAAAAUAUUGUUUUUAAAUUUGUUUAAGUUAAAUUAUUAUUUUUGAACUACUUUAUCCUAUUUAGAAUAUUUAUUCCAAAUUGCAAGAUGUUAAAUUUCAAAAUCAAACUACGGUUUUCGAAACUCUGAUCAACUUAAAUUUUCUGUUGCAAAACUAAAUGAUUUUAUAAGUGUUGUUUUGCAAUAAAAAUGAAGUAACUUAAUAAGGCGUUUUUCUCUAGAAAUUGAAAAUAUUAUACAAAGUUUUGUUUUAUGUUACACUUUCGAAUUUUAGUUAUGGUUUUAAAACAAACGUAUGUAAUUUCUCAAAAUUUGACCAUAACGUCUAGGUCGGGUAUGAUGUGUUAUAUAUUCUUUAUUAGUUUAUAUAUUUACUUAAUUUAUUAUUAUUAUUAACUUAUUUAAUUGUAUAAGUUUUUUACACAUUCUUGUUUUAGUUUAGAUACAAUAAUUAAUACCCAUAAUCAUAUCUCAUUCUUAAUAUUUUAAUUUAUUUUACCCCUUUUCCAAUUAGGUCUUAAUUUAAUUAAAACACACUAUUUUCAAAUUAAAUAUCGUAAUCAAGUUUUGUUUUAGAUUAAUUAAUAUAAUAAUACAUGAUUAUUUUAUUUUAAUGCUUUAAUUAAUUUUUUUAACCUUAAUUUUGAUAUCCGUUUCAACCCCACGAUUAAUUAUCUGAUUCUUCUAACCCUUAUAUUUUGGGUAUUUCAAAUAAUAUUAAACCUUGAAUGCAAAGUGAUAAUAUGUCUAAUUUACAUGUUUAUUAUGUUUAAUUUUGAUAAAUUCUUGAAUGAGAUGUUACUAAUUUUAAACCUAUUAAUUAAUUUUUAAUUAGGUGUAAAAGCAAACCCAAAAAAUAAAAAAAUGUGGGCUGUCAUAAAAGUUUUGAGUAAAAAACUAAACUAACCAUUAGUUUGAAAAAAAUAAAGUAACAAUGGUGCUAAAAAAAAAUUGAAGAAAAGAAAAAGAGAAUUCACCUAAUACUUACUAUAUAAACUGUGGCAUGGUUCACUUACCCACCUUAAAAUCCCACUAUCCAAUAUAAAAUAAAUUAGUGGUAUAAUUUAAUUAUAUCAAUAAUUAAUUGAUUAGUUCUAUAAUUUAAUCAAAUUCAAGUAUAUGAUUCAAUUAAUUACAAGAUUACAAUCAUCAAUAUAGAGAUAUACAACUGAUAAAUACUCCUAAAAUUACUUAUACACCAUGACAUAUACAUUCAUAUAUCUGAUUGAUUCAAUAAUGAUUUUACGAUUAGUCAUAUAUUUUUAAAUUACUUGUACAUCAUUAAUUCUACAUAAAUUACUUGAUUUAUGGUUUAUUUUAAUUUAAUAUAAUAUUCUGAAAAGUUUAUAAAAUAAUAAAUGAUAAAUAAUAUUAAACUUAAUUAGUAUGAAAAGUGAUAAUACAUCCAAUUUACAUGUUUAUCAAGCUUAAUUUUGAUAAAUUCUUGAAUGAGAUGCUACUAAUUUUGGACUUAUUAUUUGAUUUUUGAUUAGGUGCAAAAGUAAACUCGAAAAGUUAAAAAAAGUUAAAAAUGCAAGCUGUUGUAAAAGUUUUGAGCUUUUAUUUUUGGAUUUAUUUGAAAAAUGGAUACUUUUAAUUUUAUUUUAUUUUUAAAUAACUCUUCAAUAUUAGAUAGAUGAGUAUAAGUAGUUUUAGGCGAGGUACAAGGGAGGGAGAAUGGAAUGGGGAAUUGAACUUCGUCCCUGAUCUCAAUUCUGUUAUAACUCUUUUCUUUACUUGUGUAUUAUUGCAUCAUUUACCUUUUUGUUUUAAGCUGAUAAAUAACCCUAUAGAUAGCUGUGAGAUAUGAACCUGCAUUUCAAAACUUUCGUUCCAAUGUUUAUUGUUUUUUCGGUUUAGGAGAUAGACUUCAUAGUCUCACAAAAUUAUAUUGACAUCAAGUUAAAAAGAAUUUGUUGAUUCAGUAUUGAUAAGCAUACAGUUGGAAAUAUCGAGUUGAUCUUUUAUCGUAUUCAAUCUACUCAAGAACACAUUGGCAUGUCCAAUAUUAAGUAGUUAGUUAGAUUUUGUUAGGAGGAAAUUGCAAUCAGUUUUGAAACGGUUGGGCCAUUUUAGUUCGCAAGGUUAUCGGAGUUAAAUCGUAGACUCGUGUUUCGUAGUUAUUCAUUCAAUAAAGGUUAGUUGUUGGACAUUCUUGCAAUAAAUUUACACAUAAAAAGGUUAAUAGUCCAAUAUAUCCUCGAUUAUUAUAAUUGACUUAUCGAUUAAAGAAGAAAACUUGCUAUUAAAAUACUUAUCGUAAAUUUAGUUAUAUAUGAACCCUAAAUAAAAUACUUCUUAUACCCAUUAAAACCAAACCAUUUAUUUAUCUAACUUAUAUUUAUUUUGGUAAAAGAAGACUUAUAUUUAUUUACUUUAUUCCUAAAACUUCAAACAAACCCAUCUUUAUCUUUUAAGUUUCAAAAAGAGGCUUGAAUUUUAUUUUUCAACCAUUUAAUCUAAAAAGAUAUUUUCUCAAUCCAAAACAAAGAUUUAAAUUAUAUUACCAUAUAUAAUUUAUGAAUUUAAUUUAAAUAAUAUUUUUAAUCUAUAUAUACCUUUUAAUGGGUAAACUAUCAAAAUAAUUACUUUUGUUUACCUCAAGUUACAUUUUAGUCACUAUUACUUGAAAUGUUACCAUUAACAUUUUUUUGCGAAAUAAUUACUCUACCGUUAAGAUUUGUUAUUUCUCAAACAAUAGUCCAAUAUGACAAUUAAAAUGGGUUUUAAAUGUAACAAUAGAGUGAUUGUUUUCUUUAUAAAAUGAUAACAAAAGUAACCAAAAAUAAUAUUUUAAACAUAAUAAUUAAAAUCUACCCUAAAUCAAAUAAAAAUGUUUAUUUUGAUAGUUUACUUCUUUCUUUCUUUAAUUUAUCAACACAGCGUAGUUAAGUUCCAGCCAAGUCAACAAUCAAAAGCAGAUAUUUGGUUGAAAAAAAUAAAAUCAUUAUUGAAUGCCUCAAUCAUUCAUUUGCCUUCCUUCCCCUCAAUCAUUCUAGCUUUGCUCUAGAAAUUCAAUUAUGGCGGAAACGUUUCUGUUCAAUAUUGCAGAAAGGGUUCUCGCCAAAAUUGGCAAUCUCUCUGUAGACGAAGUUCGCUUGGCGUUUAAUGUCAAAACCGAUCUGAAAAAGCUGGAGGACACCAUGAUCAGCAUUAAAGCUGUGCUCUUGGAUGCCGAGCGGCAACAGCACCAAAAUGAAAAGCUGCGCCUCUGUAUGUGGAAGCUCAGAGACAUCUUUUACGAUGCUGAGAACGUUAUUGACGAUUUCAAGUGUGAAGCUCUCCGGAAACAGGACGCCAUCAAUCAUCCCGACAUCAACAACUUAAAGGUGCGACUUUUAGGUUCCUGUUGUUUGCCUCUUUCAUUCUCUUUAAAAAUGAGUCAUAAAAUCAAAGACAUCAAUGGGAGACUAGGCGAACUUGCCACUGAGUGGAAAAGCUUUGAUCUAAGACAGUGUAGCGACAACCGACAUGUUUUUCGCAGAGAGACCAUCUCUUUUGUGGAUUCUUCUGAUGUUAUUGGUAGAGAUGAGGAUAAAGAGAACAUUAUUAGUAUGUUGAUGAAACCAAGUGAGGAUCGAAAUGUCCCUGUCAUUCCCAUUGUUGGAAUUGGGGGUUUAGGAAAAACCACGCUCGCUCAAUUAGUUUACAAUGAUGAUCGAGUUACUAGCCUUUUUCCUUUGAAGAUAUGGAUCUGUGUUUCUGAGAAAUUUGAUCUUUCUAGAUUGCUCAGGCUGAUUAUUCAGUCUGUAAGUACAGGAGAAGAUGUGAUGAUUCAACACUUGACGCCUUGCAAGCUCGUUUGAGAAGCCUUUUGACUGAUAAGAAGUUCUUGCUCGUCCUGGAUGAUGUGUGGAAUGAAAAUAAAGCAAAAUGGGUUGAGUUAAGAAAUUUGUUGAGAUCGACGAAUGGAUUUUCUCCAAGCAAAAUUAUUGUCACCACUCGGAGUUUGAACGUGGUCUCAAUAAUGAGUUCAAUUCCCCCUUAUAUUUUGGAAGGUCUCCCUCUUGAAGACUGUUUGACCUUGUUUACAAAAUGGGCUUUUAAUGAUGGUGAUGAGAGACAUUAUCCAAAUCUCAUUAGAAUCGGGGAGGAGAUUGUGAAAAAAUGCAAAGGGGUUCCUUUGGCAGUAAGAACAUUGGGAAGGCUACUGUUUCAGAAAACGGAUGAAUCUGAUUGGAUCUAUAUAAGAGAGAGUGAAAUAUGGAGAGUUGAGCAACAUGAAAACGAUAUUUUACCAGUGUUGAAGUUGAGUUACAAUCAUUUGCCAUCUCAUUUGCAACGAUGUCUUGCUUUUCUGUCCUUGUACAAGAAAGAUGAGAUCUAUUAUAGUGAGAAAGUCAUCCGUCUUUGGAUGGCAAAUGGACUCCUUGAGCAUUCAAAGCAAAAUCAAGAGCGGGAGGUUGUUGGCAAACGAUAUUUGAAUGAAUUACUGUCAAGGUGCCUCAUCCAAAUGGAGCAGGAUUAUUUGUUUUUUUUUACCUUCAAAAUGCAUGAUCUGGUACAUGAUCUUGCAUUAGAUGUGUCUCAAAAAGAAUGUAAAACAGUGAAUUCCGAAACAGAAACGGUUGAUGAAAAUGUUCGACAUUUAUUAUUAUGUGAUGAGAAGUUGGUUGGAGUUCCACGUGUUUUGGAGGAAAUGAAAAAUGUUCGAACGGUAAUCAUCCAAGAUGCUUCAAAGAGAUCAGAGUUUGUUGAUAAAUCUCUUCUAAAUCUUUGUGUUUCCAAUUUCAAGUAUCUACGAGCAUUAGAAUUAAGGAAGUCACCAUUGAUGGCUUUACCAAAUUCCAUUGGUACCUUGAAGCACUUACGAGACCUUGACUUGGUCGGAUGUAGUAGUAUACGUGAACUCCCGAGGUCUUUCGAUAAGCUUCGCAGCUUGCAAUCGUUAAAUUUGGGAGGUACUAGUUUGAAGCAGUUGCCUGACAGCGUGCAAAGGUUGAUUGAGCUUAAACAUCUAGUAAUAACCAUUGAAGCUUCGCAUUUGAAAGAAAUACGAGCAGGAUGUUGGACUUCUCUUCAAUACUUGGGAUUGAGGAGCUGUAUGGAAUUAGAAUGUUUACCUGAAGGAAUGCAGUAUCUGAAGUCACUUCGGACACUUGUCCUGAGUUAUUGUUAUGAACUUGUCCCAUUGCCACGGAGCCUGAAACUCCUAACCAAGUUAGAACACCUUGCAAUAAAGAGUUGCAAGAGCAUGAAUUUGAAAAUGGAACCAGAAGAGGAAGAAGACAAUGAUCUUCAGUUGAGCCUUAAAACUCUCUCACUCUUGCGAUUAGAUGCCUUAACAGAUUUGCCUCGAUUGCUUCUUCAAGGAUCUUCUUCCAGUUUGCAGCAAUUACGAAUUAUAAGGUGUCCAAAUUUGUCCGUUCUACCAGCAUGGCUACUGAAUCUCACUUCUCUUCAAAAACUUGAUAUUGUGGAUUGCAGAAAAUUGUCAGCUCUACCGGAGGGAAUAGACCGCCUCACCAACCUUAGAGAAUUGAAAAUUCACGGAUGUCCGGAGUUGAACAAAAGAUACAGAGAAAAUGGGGGUGAAGAUUGGCACAAAAUUGCUCACAUCCAAAAGGUUGUUAUUACGGAUGAAGAAUGAGGUAUGUGGUAAAAUUUUAAUUUCUCUAUCAGAUUCGAUUCCAUAUUAGAGUAGAGUAGAGACGUGGCUUUUGUCCAGAAUAGUCCGUUCUACUAGCAUGGUUUUGGUUAGAAAUUUUGUAUGUUUAAAGUUUAUUAAGUACUCAUUGUGUUUUAAAAUUUGCAUGUAUGAAAUGUGAAGAUGGUG